CCCAUCACCGUCUAGCAAGCCUACGAUGCAAAUACUCACGCACGGCGGUGAGUGUCAUGAAAUUGAUGAUGGAGGAUGGUUGAUGAUGACGACGGCGAGGAUUCCCCUCUCUGGAGCCCCGAACGAACUCCAGAUCAGCCCUCCCGAGAGAGUUUAGGGCUUGGCGGCGGCUCCGUAUCGUAAAAGGCAAUGAAUCUUUUUCUCUCAUUUUUUUCUCCCCGAAUGUGAAUAUAUGGAGUUGAAGUUGAGGUCAGUGGAGCACCAGGGUGCCCAUGAGGCAGGGGGGCACGCUCUAGAGAGGGGGCCGCGCCCCCACCCUCGUGGAAAUGGUGUGGGCCCCCAGGCCUUGAUUCUUUCGCCAGUAUUUUUUAUUAAAUCCAAAAAUAACUUCUGUUGAGUUUCAGGUCAUUCCGAGAACUUUUAUUUCUGCACAAAAAUAACACCAUGGCAGUUCUGCUGAAAACAGCGUUAGUCCGGGUUAGUUCCAUUCAAAUCAUGCAAGUUAGAGUCGAAAACAAAGGCAAAAGUGUUUGGAAAACUAGAUACGAUGGAGACGUAUCAAUGGGUCAAUCUGUCAAGAGGCGGGGUACAUGUAGAUCCACAGUACGGAAUGACAACAGUGGAUCUGAACAAUCUUGGGUACACAGACGAACCAUUCGUCCUAGCCAAUGAUGUGGCGCAGGUUUUGUUUGUGAAGGACAUAUCUACCAAUCCGAGAAAAAGAAAAGAUAAGGAAGCGAAUACAUCAUACGAUGAGCCAAAGCGCCACAUAGUUCUUUCAGGAAAAAGACACAUCGUGGUAGUGGAGGGCAAGACAGACAUGUCUUAAGAUUAUGAAAAGUUUCAUUAAAUUCCUCCCUUCAAAGUCAAGAUUGACCCAAGCACCCUGUUAAACGAUGAAGAUUAUCCAUGGUUACAACGCAAUAAGCAAAGGACACAAGCAAAAAAAAAGUGAAGACUUUAUCUCCAUGUCUAUUAUGAUGAUGUCUUUGAUCUAGAAUAUCACUGCACUUACAUGUCAAGAAAUGAAAUACCUUUGUAACAGAUGAGUUUUCGUCCGAAACCCUGAUACUUCGAAAGAGAUUGUCCAUUUUGUACACGAAGUGCAUCCAAUUUUUGCCGUAACCCUCUCAACUUUUUAGAACAUGCUAUGUGGGUGAAAAUGAUGAUACCAUGCCAACUUUCAACCUUUUCAUGGUUCAUUUGUAAUGCUUUAAAAUUUCAGGGUCAUUGAGCUUUAAAAAAAUCAGUAAAUGCAUGAAAAAUACCAAAUGAAGUCUGAAAUGGUUGAAAAUUCAUGACGUGGCUUUGAAUGGUUCAUUUUGAACACACAAAAUUCUGGAGUUCAAAUAAGUUCAAAAAAAUGAAAUACCUUUGUAAUAGAUGAGUUUUCGUCCAAAAUCUUGAUACUUGGAAAGAGAUUGUCCGUUUUGUAUGCAAAGUGCAUCCAGUUUUUGCCGUAACCCUCUCAACUUUUUAGAAAAUGCUAUGUGGGUGAAAUGAUGAUACCAUGCCAACUUUCAACCUUUUCAGAGUUCACUUGUAGUGCUUUUCAAUUUCAGGGUCAUUUAGCUUAAAAAAUCAGUAAAUGCAUGAAAAAUACCAAAUGAAGUCAGGAAGGGUUGAAAAAUGAUGAUGUGGCUUUGAAUGGUUCAUUUUUAACACACUAAAAGUCUGGAGUUCAAAUAAGUUCAAAAAAAUGAAAUACAUUUGUAACAGAUGUGUUUUCGUCCGAAAAGCUGAUACCUAAAAAGAGAUUGUCCGUUUUGUACAUGAAGUGCAUCCAGCUUUUGUCGUAACCCUCUCGACUUUUUAGCACAUGCUACGUGGGUGAAAUGAUGAAACCAUUCCAACUUUCAACCAUUUCAGAGUUCAUUUUAAGUGAUUUUUUGUUUCAAGGUCAUUUAGCUCAAAGAAUGAACUAAUAGAAAAAAGAAUGAAGUAGAAAACUUUUAUGAAACUCUAAUAGCAAAAAUAAUGAACUAAAAAUAAUUAAUUGAAAUAUUCUGUUAUGAUCAACUAAAACCCUAUAAUAUUGUUCAAUAGCAAAAAGAAUCAACUAAAAAGCUUUUAUAAAACUCUAAUAUCAAAAGGAAUCAACUAAAAGGAUUUUAUAAACCUCUAGUAUUUUUGAAACUAACCUUUUAUUAAAUUUAUGCAACUAAAAUUAUCAAAGUAUUUUUUGUUCAAAAUAUUAAUAGCAAAAGAAUUUUCGUAAAGAACUUUUUUGUUAGAAACUUUAAUAGCAAAAUAAAAUAACAAAAUUUGAUUUUGAUUAAAAUAGACAUUAAAAAUAACCUAAAAAUUACCAAAUUGAAUAUAAUGAUAAAACACAGUAAUAUUAAAUAGCAGGAAAAAGAAUCACUCAGAAAUCUAUUUUCGUAGUAAAGUUAUUCGCAAACUAGUGAUUCACAGAAAUUUAAAAAAAAAUCAAAUUUAAACUAUUCAAAUUUGAAAACCAAUGGAACUAACAGAAAGUUUAUAAUUUUUGUGGCCGAAAAGCAAAAAGAAUCACUAAAAAACUAUAAGCAUUUAGUAAGUACAAACAAAAGAAAAUAAAUAAAGCAUCAAAGAAAACAAAAAUAUUAAAAAUAUUUAAAAAAACGCCGCCUACUGGGCCACCACGGCCUGAAUAUGAUUAGAACCCAUCGGGCCAGGAUUCAGGCCCGCAGCAGGCCUAGUAGGCCGACAGGCAGAGGAGUGUGACAUUAGUCCCGUAAGCCUGCAGUUGAAAGGAGCUCGAGAGGGUCAGCGCAACAACACUUAUAAACAACUCUCGAGCCCUCUCAGCUAGCGAGGUGGGACUAAACUUUUCACCCCGGGUAGCACCAACCUUUAGUCCCGGUUGGUGGCAUUAGCCGGGACCAAUACCCACCUUUGGUUCCGGUUGGUGGAACCAACCGGGACCAAUGCUACUCUUUGGUCCCGGUUCGUGCCACCAACCGGGACCAAAGGUCUCUGCUUCCCGCCCUUUGGGCUGAUAAAAAUAGACCUUUGGUCCCAGUUGGUGGAACGAGCCGGGACUAAAGGUGGGUAUUGGUUCCGGUUCGUGCCACAAACCGGGACUAAAGAUGUGGCUAUAUAAGAGCAUCUCCAAUAGAUGGUCCAAAUUUUGACGGUCUAAAAUCAGAGAUGUAAAAUUUGAACCGCCAAAAAGUGCAUUUUGGAGUUCCAAAAAAGGCCAACUCUAACAGAUGGUCCAUAUUCUAGAAGGCCAACUAAAAGGACAACUCCAACAUAUAUAGAAAGCACCUAGACCUUGGAAUCAAAACAAGGAUCCGAGAGGUGCUUCCUGAAGUCUCGGCAGAUUAUGCUUGAUGAGUACCUGAGCCGCAAUCCCACUUGGCUUGUCAAACAUAUGCACCUUGAAUUCCUUUGAUAUGACGAUCAUUAUAACACAAUAAUGGGAAAGCACUUCAGAAAAUGUAGUAGCAGUUUUGGUGCUCUCACUCAGUGAGAGCCGAGUGGCUUUUUGUAUUUUAUAAGCCCAAUGCUACCAAAAAAUGCAAGAGCUGCAAGUGCUGGAGCUUAGCAAUGCACAGUCAUGAUGCUGCCACUAUACCUUGAAAGAGAAACUUCAACUUUUCUAUAGUGUGCCAACAUUUAGGGUAAACCAAACCAUAAUGAAGGCUAUACUGAGAUAAAAUAUGUGGAUUUUAUUGGAAAUAUGUUGUGUAAAUAGCUAUUGUUUUUAUUGUUAGGAUGGGCAAGCCCGCCAUCAAAAGAAACACAUCACCACACUAACAAUAUUUUUGACACUAUAGAUCCUAGUAUAGUAGUGGCUGCUGGAUGGCACAGAUCAUUCCAUUAUUCAGUGCAUACUGAAUUAAUCAUCUUGGUCACAUUUCCAGUAGCAUUUAGAAGUCCCUCCUGGCUGCAUUUGAAAAAGGUCAAAUCUUUCAUGAUAUGCUUAAGGCAAUAUUUAAAUUGGAAGGUUAUGCUGGAAUCAAAUCAAAUCACAUACAUGUUGGACCAAGGUAGCACCCAAGAUGCCACUACAGGACGAUGCGUAGAACAUACAGAUGUUCAGACAAUUUUAAUUUUAUGUGUAACCAAUUGAAGAUCCAAGUCAGAUCACUGGCAUUUACUUGGUUACAUAUGCCAAUCUCUCCCCAAAUGGUGUGAACACAAAGAGAGAACGCAUCCUUGCUAUGAAGCAUUUGAAAAUAGCAAAUUGAGGAUAUAGAAAGCACUGUCUUGCUCCUACUACUAAACGUGACAUGGUAUGCAUAAGAAGAAACGGAUGCUUGUGCUAUGGAAGAUUCAGAAGUACCACUAAAUAUAUAGAAAAAAUAAAACAUGAAAGGGCAAGUCGUACUGCACAACUCUAUUGUAUACUGGAACUUAAUUUAUAUUUGUCAUUACUGUGGUUUUGGGAGAGGUAGUGAUGCGUGAUGGCAAAGGGCCUGAAGCACAGGGGCACGUUGAUCUUGGCCUUGAAGAUGAUGACGUGACUGCAUUUUCUCAUGGUGUAAUAAUAUGUCUUACAACACAAUGAAGUUUCUCAUAAAAAUAUACACGAUGAAGUGCAAGCAGGCUCUGACCAUGAUUCUGGCAGCAUCGGAGGAGGACCAUCAAAACUUUGAGGCACACCGCACACGGGGCCAUCAUCAACGCCUGGACGGCCAUGACCUUGCAUGCCGACUGGGAGCUGAUCCCUCUCCCUCUCCAUCUACCCCUUCCUGGCCUCCAUUAUCAUGGCGUCCAAAAGCAUCCCAAUUUACACCAAUUCAGAGCAACUGAACAAUUAAGAGCAAGAAGCGUCAAGUGGUCAAGACCAACACCACCUGAACACGACCGAAAUACUUCCGGAAGAAGAGAAAAUUGGGGGCAAAAAAUCGUAGGUGGGUUUGGAUUUCGGCGCACCGUUAGAGAAGACUCGUCCACCCCCGUGAGUAAGUCGAUAUGCACGAAGCAGAGUGCCCGCGUCUUCUUGGCCGGAGGAACCAUGCUGGUCAGCAUCUCCUCCUUCCCCUCCUAGAGUCCUCGAUCAUCCUUCUCUGCCACCUCCCCCAUCUGCACAAAUCCUAACCUAUACGAAUCAAGAGGAGGCACCUAUUUGUUCACAAAUCCGUGACGAAGCACCAAUCAUACCUCUAGCGCGACAUGAACGGAUAUGGACCAAGAUCUUGCUGACCACAUGGGGAAUUAACUGGUUCGAGGGUGGCUCAACUCCCUUCAACAACUCGCCCCAACCGUUCUCACCUUUUAGAUAGCCUCUCCAUACCUCUCUUGCAGUGAUGACAGCGGCGGUCAGUUUGGGAGAUGAGGGGUAGGGACGUAGGGUUCAGGGAGGAGAUGGGAGGGGAGAGGACGGGUGCAUAUCUGUACCGUUCUUUGGGGAUCGGGUGUUAACUCGCACCAGCAAAAGAGGGGCCUCCGAUUUUGUGCCAGGAAUAGCGGCCCACACCACCAGAGCAAGAAGUACAUCGGACGUCCAAGAAUGAUCGGGAUGAGCAAUUUGACGGCCAAAAUCAGUGAUGGCCUGAGAGAGCUUCUAGAGUGCACAUUUAUAAUGUUUCUACUAAAUAACCAGCCAAACCACGCCGCUAGCUCCAACUCUUUUGCUUUGGCAAUUAAAUGAGCGGGAGGCGCACCGCACCUGCAGAAAGGGAUCUACAGAGACAAUUAAUUACGUGCGCUCUGACUUAUCAAGGAUCUACUGGAGUACUCCCUCUGUUCGGAAUUAUUUGUCGUAGAAAUAGAUGUAUCUAGACAUUUUUUAGUUCUAGAUACAUCCAUUUUUACGACAAGUAAUUCGGAAGGAAGGGAGUAGAUGAUAAAGGGCAUGUACUUAUGCUGCAUGCAUGCAUAUCCAUGUGCAUGCCGCGUGGAACAACCUACAUAACGUACGUACGAGAAUGACGCGAUCGAGCACCAGCCAAUGCAAAGUGGAUCACCAACCGAAUAGCAGAUGACGACGACGUUGAUCAAAUCGUUGAUCGAUGCGUGCAGUGGACUCUGGAAUCAACCGAGUUUUAAUUCGCCAUCUGAAAUUUCGGCGCGCCAAACGCAAAUUGGUCUGUCUCUAAUUGCGUUGAUCAUCGAUGACCGAUCAAUGCGGAUGCCUAUAUAAGCCAGCCAUGCGUGGCCUGUUCCAUCCAUCGAUCCAUCCAUCCAUCCAGGGACGUAGCUGCUUUGUAUGCAUUGGGGUCAAUUGACACCAAUGAAAUUAGUAAAGCCUUCACUAAUAUAGUACUAAUCACUAUUUAUUUAAAGAAGAUGACCCCACUGUCAUAGACAUGACCCCAUCAAACUUUUUUUCUAGCUUCGUCCCUGCAUCCAUCCAUCGCUAUUUACUUCCCACAGGCAAGUAGUGGAGUUCGAUUCAGGGGUUCAGCCAUGGCAGCUCCGAGAGCACUCGUCCUCGGCGUCCUGCUGCUGAUCGCCGUCUCCGACACCGAGGCGGCGUCCGUCGUCGUCGGCAUGGCCAAGUGCGCCGACUGCACCAGGAAGAACAUGAAGGCCGAGGAAGCCUUCAAGGGUAAGCGCUGAUGUGCUACUCCAUUGUGUGGCAUUGCUGGGUUGACGCUUAUCACCAUUGUUCUGCCAUGAACGUACCCCAGGUCUUCAGGUGGCGAUCAAGUGCAAGAGCGUCCACGGCGACUACGAGAGCAAGGCGGUGGGUGCCCUCGACCGCACCGGCGCCUUCAGCGUGCCCCUGGCCGCCGACCUCCACGGCGCCGACUGCGUCGCUCAGCUCCACAGCGCUGCCUCCAACACACCGUGCCUCGGCCAGGAGCCAUCCAAGAUCGCGCCGGUGUCCGAGGGCACCACCUUCGGCGUCGUCGCGGGGGCCAAUACCAACGCGUUGGCAUCGCCGGAGUGCGCGUCGGCGACCCUGCUCGGGCCGAUCAAGAAGCACAUCAUGGAGCACUUCCACCACAAGAAGCCCGUGCCGCCCAAACCGGAGCCCAAGCCCUAGCCUCACCCUGACUACGGCCCCGUGCCCAAGCCCGAGCCAAAGCCGCAGCCCCACCCGGACUACCACCCCGUCCCUCCCACGCCCACCUACGGUGGCGGCGGCGGCGGUGGAUACCACGGACACCACUGAGUCCGGUCUACCACCGCCGUCCUGCCCAACGAUGAAAUCUCAUGAGCGGGUUGGUGAUCAGUAAGUGGUUGACGUUGCUAUUUAUGAUCCGUUCGCAUGCGUGGGUGUAUUGUUUGGUGUUCUGCCAUUCGCUGCCUCGUUUUAGUAUCUGCACUGAAGAGUUGAGAGUUCAGAAUAACAGUUAUGAGGAACACAUGGAUCAGUUUGUAUUUUGCUUUAUUAAGAUUUGAAAUUUUGGUGUGUGUUUUGUAUAAGAAGUUAUUGUGGAUCAAGUAAUUUAAUCAUGUCCAUUUGAGCCAAUGGAAUUACUGCAGAUGUUGCCUUUUUUUGCUUGAUCUUGUUCUACUGUGUGCUGCGUGCGUUUAGUCCAUUCGCUGCGGCUUGCUUUUACCUUUAUUUUCUUUUAAGUUUUUGGUUCACGCAAUAACUGUGUGGCAGGUUUUUUAAUGGAAAAAUGGCAAAAGUGCUACUUCGACCGGCUCUUUACGGGGUUUCAACGGGCUCUCCCAACAAACUAAACUUGCCCCUCAUCUGAUUUUCAGGAAGGUGGGCCCCCUCUCCCCCUUGGUCCAACCCGUAAAACAUUCGUAAUGGUCCGUUGAUGUUGCAUCGCUUGAAAAAAGGUUUUGCCAUUGUGUAGUCGUGUGAGACCAUCAUUUACUUUCAGCCGGUUUUCAGAUCUGUGGACUCAAACUCAGUGGGUGUUUGGUUUAGAAGUCCUAGGACUUUUUCUAGUCCUAGGGACUAAUCAAAAAAGACUUUUCGGUAGAGUCUUUUUUUAGUUCCUGUAGAAAAAGUCCCUCCCGUUUGGUUCCUAGGGACUUUUUAGGGACUUUUUCUAGUCUCUGGGACCAAAAAGUCCCACCCAAACACCCCCUCAAGUGGACUUCAGGCAGGUGUGCAAAUGGAUCUGUCAUGGACAACUCAUGACAUUCAUGUCAAAAACAAAAUCGCAGCUACCAAGGAUCACGCAUUCAUACUGCCGCUUCUGCUUUGACUUCUUUCAGCCUAAGCAGGAGGGGAACUGGGCCAUGGCCCGGUCCAGCUCAAGUGCAUAAGGGGGCAUAUUUGGCUCGGACCGCUGAAGACUAAACAAUCAGUACCACUUAGGCAGGAGAGAACCUGCUUAGUCAAGUACAUGGAUUUACACAGGUAAAGUUCUAGCAAUGCUUUAGAGAAGAUAACGAGGUAGUUCAUGUAAUAGUUUUUUUUGGCGAAAAGGAUCCAGAUCUACUCCCUCCGUUCCUAAAUAUAAACCCUUUUAGAGUUUUCAAUAUGGACUACGUGCAGAGCAAAAUGAGUGAAUUUACCCUUAAAAUAUGUCUAUAUACAUCCGUAUGUAGUGUAUAUUGAAAUCUCUAAAAAUACCUAUAUUUAGGAACGAAGGGAGUAUUAUAAAGGUUCACCAGAAGUGCAAUUACAAAGCACCACAAACAUAAUAAAAAUUACAUCAAGGUCCAUUAACCAUCGAACGACCACUGACCACCAGAACGAUCCGAUGACGUGUCGUUGUCGUCGCUCCCAUAACGAAGCCGGCUUGGUCUUGUCGAUGACAGCUAGGAAGUUUUGGUGCACAUGCCCCCAAAGACCAGUGCCCCGGAGUUGCAAUCGUCAUUGUAGAUCCCUUGAAUCGACCUGAAGAACCUAACAUCAAAUAUCAUCAUUGUGUACGCAUGCCGAUAAAUCCUAUCCUUGCUGACCCGAGGAGCAUACGAGAAUCUAUGCCGGAGGUUUGUCGAUCCGUCCCAAUGGACAAACUUGAGGAGAAUCGAUGCCCGAAAGACCGGCUCGAAUAUGUAGCAUCGCCCCUAUGAGGACUUAAACCCCAACCUAUCUAUUAGCCAGAGCCGAGCCACGAGGUUUGCCCUCCUUGCAUCCGGUCGUCUACGAGGUGGAAGAGAGGCGGAGCACUUUUUGUCCUCUAGCAGGCUGAUCUGCCAAAGACUCAUCCCUCUAGGAAGGUGAAUUCGAAGCCAUCGUCAUCACCAACACUCUGAUCAUCAUUGGGACCAAUGCAUAUUCUGACUUAUGAACUAUUACAUCCGAUCCUUUGUUGAGUAUAAUGUCUGAUGUUGACUACUGCUUGCAGUUGAUACUUAGAAGUUUUAUUGGAUUCAUAUGUUCAGGUUGUUAUUCAUACUUCCAUCUCCACUUAUUAUGAUCCAUAUGAUGUGUUGUGAGUAGCAUCCCAUUACAUUCUUGAGGACAUGGGAUAAACCGCUUGUUACUAUUAAUCUUGUGAAUUUAAAUAUAGUUCAAUAUUUUGAUAUUAGGUUGUGAUGUAAUUCUGUAGUGGUGAUGUGCGAUCAUCGACUGCAUAUCACUUGAUCAACAUAAGCCUAGAGGAGAGUAUUUUUUGAUUAGUUUAUCUAUGGUAGAUUGUUGGAGUGACCGAAUUACCAAAUCCUAAGUUUAUGAAUUAGUACGAGGGGCUGUUGGAACCCCAAAGUUUAUUGUUAUGGUUAGAUGCUAUCUUAAUUAUUCUCAAUGAAUCUUGAUGAAAGUGAGAACAACACAUUACUAUAGGUUCCACCGCACAACAAAUUAUCAAAGCAAUGAAUGUUAACUCAAUAAACAAGAUGAAAGUAACUUGAUGAAACUACCAUGUGUCCUCGAGAGUGAUUUGAUCCAUAUAACUAAUAGAACUCUUGUUCUUUUUUGCGGGGAUAUACAACUAUCAACUGCAGAACAAAAUAUGUACGAUUGCAACCGGUUUUAUUAUAUUGAAAGAUUGAGAAGUUUUGAUGUUAUCAUGCCACCUAGCUCUAGUGCUCAAAUGCUUCUAGCUCUGAUUGGUUGUAAGAUUGCUUUCAAAUUAAGCUUCUAAGCAGCCAAUCCACGGCGCUAGCUCCAAUUCUUGUUGCUUUUGCCAUAUAAAUGCACGGGAGGUGCACCGCACGCAGAAAGGGAUCAUCAGAUAAUUAGUUAACAAUACGUACGCUCUGACUACUUUUAUGUAGGCUCUAGAUGCAUGAUAAAGGGUACGUACGUACUUACACUGCAUGCAUCCAUGCAUGGCCAUGUGCGGCUUGCAAAACCUAUAUGAAGGAGAACGACGUGAUCGACCACCGGCCAAAAGUCGAUCACCGACCAGUUUAGCAAUUUUGAUCUCGAUCACCAACUGAGUAAUGACGAGGUGGAACAAAUCGAUGAUCGAUGCGUGCAGAAUCAAUCGAGUUUUCAAUUCGCCAUCUGAAAUUUCGGCGAAUUAGCCGGUCUCUCGUUGUCAGGCAUCAUUGUGCCGGGCUGCCGGCCACCCUUGGACAGCAUGCAGCCAGAUCAUCCAUCGAGCUGUGUCGAUCUCAAUGCGGAGGCCUAUAUAAACCACACUGCCACUCAGCCGACCCAUCAUCCAUCCAUUAACUCAGACAUGGCAGUUUCGAGAGCGCUCGUCCUCGGCGUCCUGCUGGCGAUCGCCGUCGCCAAUGCCGAGGCAGCGUCCGUCGUGGUCGGCCAGGUCAAGUGCGCCGACUGCACCAGGAAGAACUUGAAGGCCGAGGAAGCCUUCAAGGGUAAGCGCUAGCUAGCUACAGUGUAAAUGCAUGAAUGCAUGAUGGUGCUCUGCUCACUAUUGUUCUGCCAUGAAUGCACAACAGAUCUUCAGGUGGCGAUCAAGUGCAAGAACGUCCACCGCGACUACGAGAGCAAGGCAGUGGGUGCCCUGGACCGCACCGGCGCCUUCAGCGUGCCCCUGGCCGCCGACCUCCAUGGCGCCNNNNNNNNNNNACUGCGUCGCGCAGCUCCACAGCGCUGCCUCCAACGCGCCGUGCUCCGGCCAGGAGCCAUCCAAGAUCGUGCCGGUGUCCGAGGGCACCACCUUCGGCGUCAUGGCCGGCGCCAACACUGCCACGCUGUCCGCGGCGUCGCCUGAGUGCGCGUCCAUGACCCUGUGCGGGCUGAUCAAGAAGCACAUCAUCGAGCACUUCCACCACAAGAAGCCCGUGCUGCCCAAGCCGGAGCCCAAGCCCCAGCCCCACCCGGACUACGGCCCCGUGCCCAAACCCGAGCCCAAGCCGCAGCCCCAGCCGGACUACCACCCCGUCCCUCCCACGCCCACCUAUGGCGGCGGCGGCGGCGGUGGAUACCACGGCCACCACUGAGUCUGGUCUGCCACUGUCCGGCUAAGCACCAAAAUCUCAUCACCGGUUACAUGAUGAGUGUCAGUGAGUGAUCGACGUUACUAUUUAUCAUCAGUUGCUUGCGUAGCCGCGUGGGUAUUCUUUGGUGGUCUUCUGCCAUUCGCUACCACGUUUUAGUAUCUGCACUGCAUAGUCGAGAGUUCAGAAUAACAUUUGUGAGGAACUUGUGUAUAAGAAAUUACUGUGAAUCAAGUAAUGUAAUCAAGUCCAUUUGAGCCAACGCAAAGUUCCUUCCUAGCUCGGCCUCCACGGCCCCUCUUAUCUACACCAUUCGUUUUGUGUCGCGAUUUGUGCAGGAAAGCACCGUCACAAGCAUGCACUUGUUUGAUGCAGUGUCAUUUGCAGGCAUUGUCCCAUCCGUUGCAGCCAAACAAUAAUCAAAAGCAAGGUAGGCCUGUAUGCUAGUCUCCUCGUGGCUCAGUCUCAGUGGGUGUUCAAAGCUGGUCAAGAAUUCACAGGCUCACAUGCAACAGUUGCUCUCAUGCAGCAGCUUUGCACUGUACAUAACACUGUUUACUCUCGUGAACUUUUACCGAUGAACAUGCAACACAUGCAGGCCGAAAUGUGAUAGGAGAGAGAAGAGAAUGGGUACAUGAAGCAAUCUUUGUCCAACCGGGAGAAAGACAGGGGUUUGCAUGGAGAAUGUUUUAUCUCCACCCAUUCGUCCCAUGUGCAUUGAGUAAUAGUGAUUUCUUAUUCGAGGAAGUGACUUUUAGAAUUUUUAUUUGACAUCUUUAGAGCAUCUCCAGCCACGCCGCCAACAGGCCCUCCCAGACUAUUUUUUCGCGCCGGCGCCCAAAUAUCGGCCCAGUCACGCCCCUGGAUCCUGUUUUUCGCCGAUUUGGGCCGAAAUUGGCGCCGGCGUACCCAGACCAAACCCGGCGCGCUGGGGGGCGCCCAGAGGCACCGGGACGAGCGAUUUUGGCGCGAACGCACUGCGGCCCCGCCGAGUAAGCGACACUCGCCUCGUAGUCCUCACAACGUCUCGGUUUCCCGCGGGGAAUCAAUGCCAAGGCUGCCGCCGGUCAGCCUUCCAUUGAUUCCUCACGGGCGGCACGGCGAUGCCCCCCCCCUCCCGCCAUGCGUACACACGGCGCCCAGCUAUAAAAACAACGCCUCUCCCUCGCCUCUGGCCACACCCGCCCAUACCCGCCGCCGAGCUCUGCCUCUCCCCCCGCCCGCGGCCGCCGAACUCUGCCUCUCUCCCCGUGCCCACCCGCAAUGAUGACUGAACGGCUCCCCGGCGAUGGGGCGGCGGCCAACUGCUUCGGCCGCCGCUCGCUUCACGAGUGGGAGGCGUACUUGCUCUUCGAGGCCAACACCCCGGUGUUGGGGAACGUGGUAAUUUCAAAAAAAAUCCUACCAUCACGCAAGAUCUAUCUAGGUGAUGCAUAGCAGCAAGAGAGGAGAGUGUGUCCACAUACCCUCGUAGACCGAAAGCGGAAGCGUUAUUUAACGCGGUUGAUGUAGUUGAACGUCUUUUGGGGCGACCCUGGGGCCGGCGGCUGGGAACCCGAACGGCCCCAAGCCGAUUUUUUCGCUGGGUCGCCCCCAGGUGGUGAUUUUUCGAGCCCUCUGGGGGGGCAACGGCUGGAUAUGCUCUUAGAGAGCACACUUAAUCGAAAGACAGAAGAAAAAAAGAAAGAGAGUUGCAUGUAAAGUUCACGAGAGAAAGAUGCGCUGCAUGCAAAAAGAGAGAGGGGUCUGCACUACGUCUCAGUCUGACGGGAGAUGGACAAAAAGAACGUCACAUCAGAUACAGUCCCUACUAGUCCUAGCGGCAGGAGAUUAAGAUUUGAGAGCUGGCGCCAGUUGCUAAUUUUCCAUCGAUGCACACAUCCACAUGGAACUGAGCACAGAAUGGAUGGCUACGAUAGCAGGUACCACGAAGGAUGAGCUACAAAAAACUGCGCUCCCCUUGAGCCAAUGGAAUUACUGAAGCCGUUCGAGUUGAUGGAUGAUUGGGUAUGACGAUGACAAUGGUUUUGCCAUGCAUUCUGUAGUUUUUUGUGACCAUCAUUAGUUUCAGUCGAUUUUCAGAUAUGUGGACUGAAAUUCAGGCUAAUGUGCAAAUGGAUUUUGUGAUGGACAACUCAUGGCAUCCACGUCAAAAAGAGAAUGCUAGCCACUGGUCCACGCUUGAGAGCGGACUAAUUUGGAAAAGUUUUAUCUAGGGCACAUCUACAUCUGCUUUAGUUAUUGCAUAUCUAAGUGAUUCAAUCAAACUAGAAAGAAAUUGUGAGUGGGUACGAGAGCUAUGGCCUGGUCCAGCUCAAGUACACACACGGGUAUAUCUGGCCCAAACAGGUAAAGACCAAACAACCAGUACCACUUGGACAGAAGGGCGCGGCUGCUACCAUAUGCAGAUAGAUCAAGACGUCUACAUUGGUGCAUCGGCCGUCGUUGUGAGGGGAAUUAGCGAAGCAGCUAGCAAUUCUGGAAGCGCUAGCCUGCCGAGAGGGCCUAACUUUGGCGGAGGAUCUUUUUCUUUCAAAAAUUGUAGUUGCUCCUGCUUCUCAAACGGUGGUGAAAAAUGACAUACAACAAGGAGAAAUUGGAGUCUAUGGUGCAAUUAACAGAGAAUUCAGGGACCGAAGGAUUCAGUUCCAUAAAUGUUCUUCAGUUUAUAAGCGCACAAUUUUAACUUUGAGGCCCAUACCCUUGCAAAACACACUGUUGGUUUAGAUGUUGGUCGUCAUGAAUGUUAGGAAAACCCUUAUGAUCCCGCUGUAGUUCAUGUAAACCUUGGCUUGAGCAAUUAAUAAAGUGUGUAUUGCCUAAAAUUCCAAAUGAUAACGUCCACACGUGUGGCAUAUUUGCACAUCGCACACACAUCUUGAUCCAUCUUGAUUCUGUUUUGCAUGGAUCCUAAUGGAAUCUGAGUGCCACGUAGGCAUAGUGUGUUGUGUGGGCGUUAGAGCACUCGCCCACCCGACCCGCUGCGCGCAGUUACCAGUUGCGCCAUGUGGGCGAACCAGUUCCCGCCCACACAGGCACCAACCAGCCCACGCGCUUGUGGGUGAACUGCUCUUCGCCCACAGAACGCUCGUACGGUGAUAGAUGACAACUGCAGUUGCACGUAUGCGGCAACUAGGUAAACACAUAUAACAACUAGGAUUUGUUGGUAGAUGGCAACUGCAGUUGCGCGUACGUGGCAACCAAGUAAACACACACAUGGCAACUAUGUGUAACCAUACAUGGCAACUAUAGUUGGGCCACACGUGGCAACUACUUUUUUUACCACAUGUGGCAAAUAGUUAAUCACGCAGGGCAACUAUGGUUUGAUUGCACGCGGCAACUACGAUAAAUUUGACAUGGCAACUAUAUUUAUCCAAAACAAAGAGAGUUGACAUGCUUUUACAACUACAUUUGCCAUCCCGGAUGGCAACUAAAGCGGCAUCCCACAGGUAACUAACGUAGCUGUGCCGGGAUGUGUGGCAAUUUUUGCUUUGUGCUAUAUGCACAGGAUGGGAUGAGUAGUACUUGUUGGGCGUGUGGCACAGAGUAGCUACGUCCACACGUGUGGGCAGUUCUAAUAUUCGCCCACACAUGACCCGUGUGGGCUGCCUCCUGCUUACACCACACACGGUAUGUGGGUAGUUGUUUAGUAUGCCACACGGGUGGGCGUUAUCAGCGUCCUAAAAAAACUCGGACAGGAGACAUCUUAGCUACGGUUUGGCGAGAAGAUGUCGUCUGAGAGGUUUUUCUUCCCAUUUAUGCGGAUGGAAUAUUGAACAUUUUUUCUAAUUUCUGCCUCUCUGUUUUUUUAUUUUGCUUCAGGUCAUUUUUCCUGCCGCCAGUUCCGCAGGAAUCUCAACACUUGAGCGGCUGUAUCAUUCGAGUUUCCCGUGUGUGUGAGUACGGGGAUUUUUAUUGUUGGGCCCUUUUUCAUUUUUGGGUCUGUGGGUCGCCCAUCUAGGUUUGUUUCGGUGCCCUAUUCACUUUUUUGUCACGCUUGAUAGCUGAGGAGGGGUCUAGAAAGGGGAGGCCGGAGGGGGCGGAUACGGUGGAGGAAGUGGGGUGCCUCAUCGGUGAAUCAGCGCCAGGGGCUGGUUAGAUUCCAUGGAGCACGGAGAGGUGCCGACGAGUAGUGUUGGUAGGAGGCACUACUAGAAAUACCACUACUAAUGGCGCACCUAAUAUGGCCAUUAAUGGCGCAUCACUGGUGCGCCAUUGAUAGCACGCCAUUAGUAAUUUUUACUAAUGGCGCACCAGCUGGUGCGCCAUUAGUAUCUGGUAUACUAAUGGCGCAUCACCUGGUGCGCCAUUAGUAUAUGCGAGGGUGCGCCAUUAGUAUGCCUCCCAGUUGGCAUGUAUACCCAGGUGCUUUGGCAUACUAAUGGCGCACCACCUCUGGAUGCGCCAUUAGUAACCGCAGCAUACUAAUGGCGCACUACCCAAUGAUGCGCCAUUAGUAUGCACUGUCAUACUAAUGGCGCACUGUCGUGUGAUGCGCCAUUAGUAUGAAUAUUAGGUUUUUUUUAUUUUUUUAUUUUCUGUUUUUUGCACAGGUUACAAAAUGUAUAAUUUGACAAAAUAUAGACAGCACACAUCAACAAUAGAUUCAUCAAAUACAAUAUAAGAUUAGUCUUUGAAUACAAUUCAUCAUAUUAGUCUCCGAAUACAAUUCAUCAUAUUAGUCUCCGAAUUAAAAAGACCGAACAAAGAUAAAACAUUAUAUUACAAGUCUCGAGACCGCGAGUAGCGAGUUUGUCUUCGCAUUACAAGUCGAUAUCGAUCAUCUAAACUACCAUCACAUAGAAGAGAGCUGCGGUCAUCACGAUGAGCAUCAUCACGAUGAAACUCGUCUUCAUCCGGUUCCUCCAACGCUCCCUCCCCUCUCCCGCUAGAUAGCGGGCGUAUCUAGAUUCGGCCUCGGCCCUAGUGGUGUACCCUUUGUAACUGUUACCGCUGAAUCGGUGAACCUGUGUCCGACACUCCUCCCAGUCAUCGUAGACUCCGGGAACCUUACCCUUGUACACGACAUACGUCGGCAUCACUAUGCACUAGCCAAACGAAACGUUAGUACCAAUUCACAGACAAUACAUAAGCAAUAUAUAAUUAUGCAACAGAACGAUCGGAAGAGAAAAGCAAGACAUUAAUAGCAUCGAUUACAUCUAAGUUGAACGACUCUCAAAACCAAAGAGACAUACUACAAGUUCAUUAAAGUUUAAUUACAACAUGAGCCAAUCGAUGUUUCAGAACUAGACAACUCGACUCAAGGGACCGGAGCGUGGAUGAAGCCGCCGUCUAUCGUGGGAGUCAUGAAAGAACGGGCGUUGUCAUCCUGCAUUUGUAGCAUUGUGUCGAUGUCACUGUUGGACGGUUGAUUUCUGAGGUAGAACUGCCCCGAGGUACGAAGGACAUCUUGAUGGAUGAUUUCCGCAAACUCCGACUAGAUGCGAAAGAAUUCUUGUCGGAGGUCCGCGUCCUGGAUUGACGACACGCUCGCGGCCCAAUCUUGGAGUUUACUCGGUAGCAGAAGUUGAUGAUGGUCCCGUACGAUCGCCCGCAUGUGAUGGAUGGCGUAGUAGGCACCCUUCUGACCGCCAGGCGGCUGCUUGACGCAGCAGAACGUCGUAUUGUGGGAGAACACGUGCUUGCCGUACUUACGAAUAGGCCUGGUGAAGGUGCCUCCAGAUUGGGCGUAGCCGGGGAGAACAUCAUCAAGAACCUUCUUGACAUUUGUGUAGUCUACGUUCGACUGACGGUCCGGGUCGAAAUACGUGGCCAUGGAAUAUUUGGGGCUUAGGAGGAUGAGCGUGCAACGUGUGUCACUGCAGAAAACACGGAAUGUUAAAAGAAAAACGAUCGAAAAGUAAGAAUUCAUAUGUUACGGGCCGGUUGAGGGGAGGACUUACUCGGGAAAGUAAGGCACGAGGAAGUUAUCCUUAUCUUGGUUUGCCAGAAUGAUGCCUUCGAGGUAAGAACUCGCGACUUGCCGGUCCCCAGCGCUGCCCAAGAUCUUGGCACGCAUGUAGAAGGGGUCGACUAUCACGAUGUCCGGGGUCUUGUCGCGAAUGAUCCGCAUCUCCAUACUCAGCGAAAAUAGCCGAACGAAGGUGUAGUGCAGCGGAUGAAGGUUAAACAUAGCAAAGAUGUCAUCAAACCGCAGGACGAUCGUACCCCCGAUGUCGCCAUCCACAAAGCCCUUGCCCUCUGGCACCUUGGCCACGAAAACCGGGUAUGCCACAUCCUUCUCUCUGAGACGCCGCUUCUCCAAAGAAAGAACACUGUCGUGCAGACUCCGCAUAGCACCGGUUGCAGCAUUGAGCAUAUUUGGUGGUAGCAUCGCCCUACCCGCCACAUGCACCCUCCUCGAGAUAUCCUGCGAUGAAGGUGGCCCGUCCUGAGCACGGAUCGUACUCGGUGCCGGCUGGCUCGCACCCUUCUUAGUCUUUCUUUUGCGUGCCUUCUUCUUCUCCUGUAAUGGGACCGAGUUCUGCUCACAGACCGCCUUCUUGAGUGUGUUGGGGCUGAUAAUAUUUCGCACCUCGCCUAUCUGAGGCUCGGUGAAGUCGGCGGCUGGAGGCGUCUCCUGAGAGCUGAACGCCAGAUGGCGCCUGUUGCAACUUGGCUUCUCCGCGGUACGAGCUAGAUCGCACACGUCUUUUGUUGGGUUUGGUUCUUGAGAAGGAGGCCCCAUGAAGUCGCCAUCGUACCCAUGCUCGGCAAAGUACUGAUCGACGUUGCCAAAUGUAUCAUCGUCGUCGUCGUCGUCGUUCUGAUCCUGUGCCAUAUGCAUGUUUGGAUCCAGUGGCAUAGGGAUGUCCGGCACCGUUACGGCGGUCUUGCCAUGGGGCCGACUUGGCGCCGGCACGACUGGCGGUGUUGUCUUUGGGGUGGUGUCCCCCGCCCCCAAACGAAUCUGGCUCUUCGGCCAAAGCAGGGGCCAGCUCAGGCAGGUGCUGAGGGUCAUCACGUCAUCAUCGUCGGCCCCGACGGGUCGAAUCGGAGGUAACAAGUCGUCGCAGCCUGGCAGCACCCGAACCAGUUGAACCCUAAACAAGUUGGGUGGCAUCUGGGUACCGUGGAACAAGGGGUUGCCCGGUUGAACGAUUUUGCCCUUGGCGACAUCGACCAACUCGUUGUUCACGAAGUGGNNNNNNNNNNNNNNNNNNNNNNNNNNNNNNNNNNNNNNNNNNNNNNNNNNNNNNNNNNNNNNNNNNNNNNNNNNNNNNNNNNNNNNNNNNNNNNNNNNNNUGUGCAUGCGUGUUGUGUGCGACUGUGUGCAUGUGUGUUGUGUGCUCUUAAUAAUAAGAUCACCUUCUAAUUAUUUAGCGCAACGAGCGGCUGGUUUAAUCAGCUAGCUCUUUCUCGCGGUAGCGACAAGACCCUAGUUUAAAUCCUCGCUGUCACAUAGUUUUUCCUAAAAAGAAUUAUUAUUCAACUCACUGACCGCAGGUGUGACCCUCAUAAAAAGGUACAGAGGAUAGGCAGUCUGACUGGUCAAAGUAUGCAAAAUACAAAGCUAUACAGUGAGCCAAUAAUCGUAUAAUCACCUCAAGUCAUAUUUAAUGACUGUAUUGAUCAUACUCUUAUGUACAGUGACCAAAAUGAGUUUUAGACACAAAUACAGUGACUGCCGAUGCAUUUUACUCUUAAAAAAAUAUGGUUACAAUCGGUGUUAUAUCCAAAGUUUGAGAAGUUUUUACGUUAUUAUGUCACUUUAAGAUUGCUUUCUAAUUAAGCUUCUAACCAACCAAUCCACGCAACUAGCUCCAACUCUUGUUGCUUUGCCAAUUCAGUUUAUCUCCAUGUCAAUGCCUCAGAAAGGAAUGAGGUUGGGCCCGUGGUGCGUGUCACUAAUCGAAAAAAUCAUCGUUACUGAGUACAUUUCCAUUUGCCAAGUACUGUAUCACGGCAUCACGGAAAAAGCAAUGUAAGCCGAGUGUGGCACUCGGUAAACAUUAGGACAUGGCACAUGGGAAGCUCAGUCGAGCCCAACCCAUUACAUACUCAACAAACAUAAAAGAACUCGGCUUAUGCACUGUAUGCUGAGAGCCCAGUGGAAGGCACCCGGCAAAUAGGAGCCACGUGGCACAACUGUUUGCACCUAAAGGCCCUGUGACGGUGAGCAACUUUUGCCAAGAACCUCGAUGAAACGUACCCGACAAUCUAUGAGGUAUUUAAACCUGACGAACCCUAGCGGCCGCUCUCAUUGCAUUCUCAAUCAGGGACAGGUCGCCGCUCGUCUUCGUGUGGUUCCGUCGCCGCCGCCAAGCCUCGCCUCUGCCACCAGGCCUAUACGUACCCGCCGGUAGCCGCCGUGUGAGCCAACCAGUCGGAUCCGAUGUCGCCCGAGGCCCCUCGCACAGUCCUCCCUACACGGCUCUGGCCCCAAGUUCGCCACCGCUGGCCGCCACCACAACUCAUUGUCGACACAUUUUUCUGCCGACCGACCACCUGGACGCCAACAACCCUACCAUGAGCUAGCUAUAGGGUGGCUUCCCCUGUCUUUUCCUUUUUCUUUUAUGCUAUUUAUGUCAAUAUUUUCUACAUUUGGAAAAUCCAUAUAUACAUAUGCCAUGACAUGAUGAUAUGGAUAAUAUAUAUGCAUCUAUGGAUUGUAUGAAAAGUCUGGAUGUUCCCGACAAAAAAGAAUAGAUUUUGGUGGAUAUAUAGAUUAUAUAUGGAUGUUUACGGAUAUAUGUUUUUAUUUUUUGCGUGUAAAUGAAUGCAAUGCAUGUAUAGUUUGAGAGAAUAUGUAUGAAAUUUUAUAUAUACAUCUAUGGAUUGAAUGCAAUGCAUGUAUGUUUAUGAAUACGAUUGUUAUAUUUUGUUAAUGUGUGGAUCGAUAUGCGUAAAGUAUUUGAAAAUGCUUUAUUUUUUGGUGAUCAGUGAUUAAUGACAUGUUUGUAUUAUUUGUGAAUUUUUUAAAUGUUGCAAUUGUAAAUAUCCUAUGGUUAAUUAAUUAAACAUUUUCUAACCGGAUAUGGUGUGCCAAGUAUGCAUGCAUGUCACAAUAUUUCUUAUAAAUGCUAGUUGUGUUUUAUUCAUAAUAUAUAGUACAUGUGCUUUAUAGUGGUGACAAAUAUGCAUGUCAAACAGGAUAUGACGGUGUGCCAAGUAUGCAUGUCAAACAGGAUAUGACGGUGUGCCAAGUAUGCAUGUAAGAGGGCGCAGAAACUUUUCAAGUGGAUCAUCAUUCAAUAUCCAUCUGCUCAUUGAGGGCUUCCAAAAUUCAAUGGUAACAACCUCUCUCUCUCUCUCUCUCCCUAUAAAUAUAUAUUAUUUUCCAUAAAAUCCUAACCUUUUAUGUUAUUAUUUUAGUGGUUUUACAAUGCAUCUUAUGUGUGUUUGUUUUGUGUUUAUUGCAAGGAUUAUCUCAUGCAAUGGUAGGCUAGAGUUCAAUGAAUUAAUGGAAGAGAGUGUGCCUUGUGUGUCGUGGGGUCACUUACUGUUGAAUAUAUGAGCAAAUUACUACGAGAUUUAAUCCGAAUAAACAGAAGAUAAAUCAUGACAGCACUAGCAGAGAUUAAACUAAUCAUGCGAACUAGCAUAGUAGAUGAACAUAUCACAUCUAGGGCACAUACUAGAAACAUGAAUUCUACCACGAUCUCAAACAAGAAGGAUAGAAUCACAUAUGUACGGUGCAACGGGAGCGGCACCGCCGGCGUUGAUAUUGUUGCCCAUGUCGUUGAGGAUGAGGUUGCCGAGGUCGGGGAAGAAGUCGUCGUUGGCGAAGUCGUCGCUGCCAGUAGUCGCGCGAGUGCGCUCCCCAAAAACCUGAUCGCCCCACUCCCAUACAGGAUCACGAGAGACGGGGUUCCGGAGGCCUACUGUCCCUUCUCGCGGUGCACGCCGGAAGGAGGAAUGGAGAAGACUUGCAUGGCGGCGCAAUGAUCUGGAACGGUGGUGCGAAACCAUAGAAAGCGUCGACGGCUAGGGUAGGCGCGUGCCUGACUAUAUAAUGUGGCCGGGUAGGUCGUGGACGCGUCCAUUAAUUAUUAAUUGAUGACAUUAAUUAUUUCCGAGCAGCAAAAAUAUAGACAACGUGCAUAGCUCUGUCCUCGGCUCAUUCAUGCGGCGCGGCGCGUCGUGACGAGGCGUGGCGAGCGAGGAGGAGAAGCGCACGUGUAGGUCUCCUCUUCUCAUGCUCAUGCAAGUGGUAGAAGAGCUCACCUUAUAAAUAGGUGCAACUCUCUCUAUCAACUUUUGGGGUGAGACUAAACUUUGGUCUCACUCACACCACUCACAUGUGUGCAUGAAUGGGUCAAGAGAAUUUCAAAAUUUUAGUUAGGCUUUGGGCCAAGCCCAGUAGCAAAUUCCAACACUUACAUCAUUGAACUGCAGAAAGCACGGACAAGGACCCGUAUGGGAGGCGAAUGAUGGGUUCAGCUCAUUACACAGAACGGUCUAACCGGUGGAGAGAUGAUAUGUUUUUCCUUGACAUGACCAGUUCCCACAAUGCAGGUUGUCUAUCUCACCGAUUCGAACGAUGAUGACCCAUUUCAUUCUUACGUCUUCAAGAGAAGAAUCAGGCUCGAAGACUAUAAGUCUGGCCGCCCUCCUUGACACACUACCGCCAAACAAUAUCUACAUUGGAGUGUCAUUUGUGACUCGCCUAAUGGAUACAAAUCUUAUCACCAAACACGUGAUGGUAUGUUCUCUUAAGUUAUAUCCAUAUUUGUUCUUCGUCCAUGUGUGGCAUCCCAGAGACUACCUAAGAAGAUACUCCCUUCGUUCCUAAAUAUUUGGCUUUUUAGAGAUUUCAACAAUAACUACAUAUGAAGUCAAAUGAGUGAAUCUACACUCUAAAAUAUGUCUAUAUACAUCAGUAUAUGGUAGUUCAUUUGAAAUCUCUAAAAAGACAAAUAUUUAGGAAUGGAGGGAGUAGUUACCAACACUCCUAUGUCAGGUGAAGAAGGCAUUGCUCUGGACGGCUCAAAAGAGAUGAACAUGAGGACGGCAGGAAGUCGGAGAAGAUGAUGUUGGCCAUUCAUCUUGCAUCGGAGGGCUCAAAACAGAUCGACUGACAAACGUUUUUUCUUUUCAGUCGACACUUACACCUAGCCACGUCCUUGCCAAUUAAAUGAGCGGGAGGGGCACCGCACCCGCAGAAAGGGAUUCAACAGAAAAUUAGUUACGUACUACGCUCUGACUUACGAAGGCUCCACUACGUACUAGAGUAGAUGAUACUCCUUCUGUUUCUAAAUAUAAGUCUUUGUAAAGAUUUACAGAUAUAUCUAGAUGCAUUUUAGAGUAUAAAUUCACUCAUUUUACUCUGUAUGAAAUCUCUUCAAAGACUUAUAUUUAAGAAGAGAGAGAAUAAAAGGUAGGAGUAUGUACGUACGCUGCAUGCAUGCAUGCAUGCAUAUCCAUGUGCCGCGUGGAACCUACGUAUGUACGAGAAGGACGCGAUCGAGCACCAGCCAAUGCAAAGUGGAUCACCAACCGAAUAACAAAUGACGACGACGUGGAUCAAAUCGUUGAUCGAUGCGUGCAGUGGACUCUGGAAUCAACCGAGUUUUAAUUCGCCAUCUUUAAUUUCGGCGCGCCAAACGCAAAUUGGUCUGUCUCUAAUUGCGUUGAUCAUCGAUGACCGAUCAAUGCAGAUGCCUAUAUAAGCCAGCUAUGCGUGGCCUGUUCCAUCCAUCGAUCCAUCCAUCCAUCCAUUGCUAUUUACUUCCCACAGGCAAGUAGUGGAGUUCGAUUCAGGGGUUCAGCCAUGGCAGCUCCGAGAGCACUCGUCCUCGGCGUCCUGCUGCUGAUCGCCGUCUCCAACACCGAGGCCGCGUCCGUCGUCGUCGGCAUGGCCAAGUGCGCCGACUGCACCAGGAAGAACAUGAAGGCCGAGGAAGCCUUCAAGGGUAAGCGCUGAUGUGCUACUCCAUUGUGUGGCAUUGCUGGGUUGACGCUUAUCACCAUUGUUCUGCCAUGAACGUACCCCAGGUCUUCAGGUGGCGAUCAAGUGCAAGAGCGUCCACGGCGACUACGAGAGCAAGGCGGUGGGUGCCGUCGACCGCACCGGCGCCUUCAGCGUGCCCCUGGCCGCCGACCUCCACGGUGCCGACUGCGUCGCUCAGCUCCACAGCGCUGCCUCCAACACGCCGUGCCUCGGCCAGGAGCCAUCCAAGAUCGCGCCGGUGUCCGAGGGCACCACCUUCGGCGUUGUCGCCGGCGCCAAGACCAACGUGUUGGCAUCGCCAGAGUGUGCGUCGGCGACCCUGCUCGGGCCGAUCAAGAAGCACAUCAUCGAGCACUUCCACCACAAGAAGCCCGUGCCACCGAAGCCGGAGCCCAAGCCCCAGCCCCACCCAGACUACGGCCCGGUACCCAAGCCUGAGCCGAAGCCGCAGCCCCACCCGGACUACCACCCCAUCCCUCCCACGCCCACCUACGGCGGCGGCGGCGGUGGCGGUGGAUACCACGGACACCACUAACUCCGACCUGCCACCGUCCGGCCCAACACUGAAAUUUCAUCACCGGGUUCAGUGAGUGAUCGAGGUCGUUGCUUUGGUCUUCUGCCAUUCGCUGCCCCGUUUUACUAUCUGCACUGCAGAGUUGAGAGUUCAGAAUAAACUUUGUGAGGAACACAUGCAUGGAUUAGUGUGCUUCGAUUGCUUUUUUAUGAUUAUAAUUUCGGUGUGUGCUUUGUAUAAGAAGUUAUUGUGGAUCAAGUGAUUUAAUCAAGUCCAUUUGUGUCAGUGAAAUUACUGCAGAUGUUGGCUUCUUCUGGCUUGAUCUCGUUCUGCUGUGUGCUGCCUGCUUUUACUUCAUGUUUUGUCUAAUGAUUUAGGCUUGCUUUAUGUUUUUCUUUUUCAUUUUUUAGUCAAAAUUGUGUGAUGGCUUCUUUAAUGGAAAAAUGUUUUGCCAUGGUGGAGUUGUCUAAAACAAUCAUUACUCUUAGCUACUAUUCAGAUCUGUGGAUUGAAACUCAAGUGCGAUUCAGGCAAGUGUGCAAAUGGAUCUGUCAUGGACAACUCAUGGCAUUCAUGUCAAAAACAAAAUUGCAGCUACCAGGGAUCAUGCAUUCAUAUAUACUGCCCGUUCUAUUUGGACUUCUUUCAGCCUAAGCAGGAGGGGAACUGGGCCAUGGUCCAGUCCAGCUCAAGUACAUAAGGGUGCAUAUUUGGCUUGAAUUGUUGAAGACCACCAAACGAUCAAUACCACUUGGGCAUGAGAUUGAUGCUCAAAAAAAAAAACUAGGGCAUGAGAAAACCUUCCAAGUCAGGUACAUGUAUUUACAGGGGUAAAGUUUUUCUUUGGCAAAAAGGAUCCAUAUCUAUUAUAAAGGUUCACCAAAAGUAGAAUUACAAAGCACCAGAUAUAUGAUAAAAAUUACAUCGACGACCCUUAACGGCCGAACGACCACUACAGCCACCAGAACGAGCCGCCGGAUUGUCGGUGUCACCGCUCCCAUAUCGGCGCCGGCCUGACCUUGCCGGUGACAACUGGAAAGUCUUUGUGCAGAUGUCCUUAAUUAAGGACUAACGCCUGGAAGCUCCAGUUAUCGAACUGACUGUGGUUAGAGAGAGGAAUCGAGGAGAUGCUGAAACAUUUGGACCUCAAUGAUGAGCAACUUGAUAAUGUUGUUCUUGGGCGACUAAGGUGAAAAGAUCAAGGAACAUGCAAGAUAGAAAGCUCAACACGAGCAAAAUCGUUCACUUUGGAUGCUAUGUUCGGUGAUACUGAAGUACGUGUGGACUAUAGUGCAUGAACAAAAGUAUGGGGAGGCAGGUGAAAACUUCCACCACAAGAAGCCCAUGUCACCCAAGUGGGAGCCCAAGCCACAUCCCACCCAGAGUACCAUUUCAUCCCUCACAUGCCCACCUACUACGGUGGCGAACACCCCUAGUCUGUGAUUACCAUCUACCACCCUCCCACCCAACAUUGAUAUCCGCACGGUUUCAUGUUGCUCUCGCUUGCAUGACUCGUUUGGUUCCUUUAUCAUUCUUUGCCAUGUUUUACGCAUAUGCUUAACUCAACANNNNNNNNNNNNNNNNNNNNNNNNNNNNNNNNNNNNNNNNNNNNNNNNNNNNNNNNNNNNNNNNNNNNNNNNNNNNNNNNNNNNNNNNNNNNNNNNNNNNNNNNNNNNNNNNNNNNNNNNNNNNNNNNNNNNNNNNNNNNNNNNNNNNNNNNNNNNNNNNNNNNNNNNNNNNNNNNNNNNNNNNNNNNNNNNNNNNNNNNNNNNNNNNNNNNNNNNNNNNNNNNNNNNNNNNNNNNNNNNNNNNNNNNNNNNNNNNNNNNNNNNNNNNNNNNNNNNNNNNNNNNNNNNNNNNNNNNNNNNNNNNNNNNNNNNNNNNNNNNNNNNNNNNNNNNNNNNNCACCACACACACACACACUCACACACACAUCAAAAUUGAACUAAGAUGUGAUUGACAUGGCAUAACUCCAUUGUGUGGCAAUGCAUGAUGGGUUGACGCUGAUCACCGUUAUUCUGCCAUGAAAGUACCUCAGGCCUUCAGGUGGUGAUCAAGUGCAAGAAUGUCUACGGUGACUAUGAGAGCAAGGCGGUGGGUGCCCUCGAUGGCACUGGCGCCUUUAGCGUGCCCCUGGCCGCCGACCUCCAUGGCGCCGACUGCAUCGCUCAGCUCCACAGGCCACAACGCCACCUCCAACGCGUCGUGCCUCGGACAGGAGCCAUCCAAGAUCGUGCCAGUGUCCAAGGGCACCAACUUCGGCGUCGUCGCGUAGGCUAAGAAGAACGUGGUGGCAUCGCCAGGGUGUGGGUCGGCGACACUGUGCGGGCCGAUCAAGAAGCACAUCAUCGAGCACUUCCACCACAAGAAGCCCGUGCAACCGAAGCCAGAGCCCUAGCCCCAGCCCCACCCGGACUACGGCCCGUGCCUAAGCCGCAGCCCAAGUCGCAGCCCCACCCGGACUACCACCCCGUCCCUCCCACGGCCACCUACAGCAGCGGCGGCAGUGGAUACCACGGUUGUUAGGAGUAAUCUUGAGUUUGUAAACAUAAGUCAUGGUUGCACGUGGUGUUAGAAUUAGCACAAGCUAGCACAACGUGUUGUAGUUGGAAUCAGGGUUGCACUAGGUCUGUCCGUGUUCAAGAGUAGUACUAGGUACGUUAGUGUUUCUAUUAGACUAGGAUUGGUUAGCCGUGUAAGUCUAGGAUUGUGUUGGGUCGGUGGUGGCUCUACGUAUAUACACAGGGCUGCAACUUUGUACCGUGGAGAAAAACAGAAAAGAAAUAAAGAGAGAAAAGAAAGGUACGACACGUGCCUUUGGCAAAAGUUUUUCGCGUGUUUUUUUUUUGUGAUCUCUUGAUGUGAUCGAUCCUGUGGGCGAGUUCCAACAACGGUCACCACUGACUCCGAUCUACCACCGUCCAGUGCAGCACUAAAAUCUCAUCACUGGGUUCAUGAUCAGUGAGGGACGUGGGCAUUAUUUUGGUCUUCUGCCAUUCGAUGGCGCAUUUUAGUAUCUGCACUGCAGAGGUGAGAGUACAAAAUAACAGUUGUGAGGAACACAUGGAUCAGUGUGGCUCUAUUGGUUUAUUAAGAUUUGUAAUUUUGGUGUGUGUUUUGUAUACGAAGUUGUUGUGGAUCAAGUAAUUUAAUCAAGUCCAUUUGAGUCAAUGGAAUUACCGAACGUGUUGUCUUCUUUUUGGCUUGAUCUUGUUCUACUGUGUGUGCUCUGGAUUGACCUUCUUAGGCUUGUUUCUGUGGUGUAGAGAGCCAGGUUUGUCUAUUACUUGUGCUGGUGGCUUUGGCUAUAGGUUGGUGAGUUUAAAGACUGAUGUUUGCUCUUUAGGCCUGGUUUGGCUAUGGUCUGGUUGCCUGCGUGUAGUUCAUGUUUUUCCUAAUGUUUUAGGGUUGCUUUUACUUUCAGUGUUAUUUUCUCUAGUUCAUGUAAUAAGCAGCAGGCAUGUUGCAUGCCAGCGCCACGAGGCAAUGCCAGAAGCGCUAUUCGGCUACAGCAUCACAGCCAAAGGGCGUCCAUCGUGAAGGCAACAAUUAUAUGAAGCAUCACUUCCUGUAGGUCAGGUAGCAUAAUAUUUCAAACAAUGGAAGUAAAUGCAUACAAACUACUCCCUCCGUCCCAUACUGUGUAAAAAACGCUCUUAUAUUACGAGACGGAGGGAGUACAUUAUAUCCCUAACAAAUAAGAGGCAAAAUAGACAGGUGUGGUAAUGUGCGCCAUCAAUGAUGUAGUACACUCUAGAACAGUUGGACAAUUACUAAGUUUAACAAUCAUAUUUUCUGAACCUAUAUUAGGAUAUUUGUUUAACUAAUGAAGUAGAAUCCAUUAUGAAGAUAUUUAUAUAUGUCGUGCACACACACACACACACACACACACACACACACACACACACACCAUAAUUUAUUACCUUUUUUACAUUUGUUUAUGAUUUGUUAUAAGUUGAAUCAAUUCUACAAUAUGCCUCAAACUAAAAUUUGAACAAAAAGGAGACAAUUGCAUGAUUAAUUUUAUCCCAGAUUUUUAAAAGAUUGACAUGUGAUUUUAUAACAAUAAAUUUUGAUUAUUUUACAUACCUACUCGUUUGUGUGAAUAAUAUUGCUAGAUACAAUUGAAACAAAUAGUGUUGAUCAUUGUAUGGCAUAUGUUAUAUUGAUUCAAAAUAGGGUUGAGAUUCAGUGGCAAUUAGAUACCAAGAAGUACAAGUGUUUAAUAUAAAAUGCGGGAUUUGGUGGUCGCCACCUCUCGUUCGUGGUUGAUUUGCGGUACAAAGUGGUAUAUUUUAUCUCCGCUCUACAAAUAUGUUAUAUACUAACAGAACAAGUAUAAUAUGGAGGACGGCGAUUCAAUGCACGGGCAUGUGGCCGGUAUCGUGUGCGUUUGAUCCGGUGUGGGGAUUUGGAAAAAUGCUGACGUGGGACAGGUUUUAGCAGUUGAAAAAUCGCGUAUACAUGAGGAGUCGUAGGAACAGUGAUGUAUGGCGGGACCAAACCGUAGGUGGCAGGCGAGAUUAAUGGGGUGGGCGGAGAGAGGCGUCGAGUCCGAAGUUAUAGGCCGUGGCUCAGGAAUGUGAGGAAAAUCAUUGGCAUGGGGACGGAAUGUGCACCUGAUAGGGUCGGGGGUUGUCGAACUUAAUCAAAACGUGGUUUUCCCGUGUGUCCCGUGCACACCACUAAAGCUACAUAAGUUGUUCUUCGAAAAAAAACUAUAUAAGUUGUUCGUUUCGGUUCUUCUUAGAUGAGCUGGGUUUAUUUUUUGCAAAAAGAUCAGAUUUAUUAUAAAGAUUCCCCACAAAGCCGCCUGAUUGUGCGACGCUGCCGAUUUCAUUUGCUGCUAGCAAUGGGGGUGAUUAUGGGGGUGUUGCUGAAACACCUACCCACCCGAAGUGCGGAAGGUUCGAUCGUGUGUGUGCGUGUGGAAGGACCAUUCAAAGAUGAUCCGUUAAAUUUAGAUGAGAUGAUUCCAGUAAUACACUACCACGUUGUUCCAUCGGCGUCCUCCUCAGAUGCACCAAACGAUCAUCGACGUCCUCCUCCGAGGAGGAUCGCCUGGAGCAAUUAAACUAAUAAGUUGGAACUGUCGGGGUCUCUUGGGAACCCCGACGGUUCUUUUGCUUCUGGACAUCCAGAGGUGACAUAAUUCAGAUGCGUUUUUUCUGUCUGAAACGCAUUUGGAUGAGGAUAGGGCAGCUUGAGAAGGAAAAUGAGGAUGGAUUACAAAAUCGUUGCGCCAAGCCUUGAUGGAAGGAAAGGUGGUUUGCUUUUAGUCUGGAAGAAGGAGGUGAGGAUCUACUCCGGGACUACCACUUUUAGUGUCAUCAAUGUGAUGGUGGAGGAAUCAAAUGGAAGAGAAUGAAGGCUUUAGGGAUUGUAUGGGGAGCCGAGUUGGGAUCAUACGUACCAGCUAAUACUUGCAUGCUCAAUCUAAUCUCCUGUGGGUGGUCAUUGGUGAAUUUAAUGAGAUUCUAUUCUCGACAGAAAAGGAGGGAGGUGCGCCACGGAGCAAGCGCUAAGAUGUGCUUCGAAAGGCACAUAAUCUUCAUCUCCUACAGAUAUCUGCAACAUCUGCUGAUUUUAAUUCCCUGAUGUGCAGUUUGGUAAAUCCUACUCAUCUUUGCUAUCUAAAGCUCGGAGUCGUUAAGGUGCAUGAGGGUUUGCCUCAAGUUUGGAGCAAGUUUUGCCAUCUUCAAGUAUUAGAUUCUUUGUCUGGACGCUGCUGCAGAACAGACUUUGGACUGCAAAUCGACUGCUUGUGAGAGGCUGGAUCAUCAGGAUACUUGCUCCACUUGUGAUCAGGUGCUUGAGUCUGCCCACCACCUGAUAUUCGCCAAGCAGGUCUAGACUGCAUACCAAAAUACGAGACCACUGGCAAGCCAGGCAGAGCUGCACUCAACCUCUGUUGGGACUUGGGACCUGGUGGGAGACGAUCCUGCCUCUCAGGGAAAAAGGACAGGGCACUGAUGAUUGCACCUUCUCAGCUUACGUGGCAUGCAUGGAACCUCUGGAAUGAGCGAAAUCGAAGAGUUUUCAGAAAUCAGCAAAAGAACCCUGUGUGUGUUCGAAGAUUAACGAUGAGAUCAGCCUCUUUGAUGAGGCAUGGGAGAGCAAUAGUUUUUUUUUCUUUUGAACUGUACAGCCAGGCAGCUGAGGCAGGCCUUGCUUGUACUGGGUCUUUUAUUCUUUUUUCAGCUUUUCCUAGUAGCUUCACUACUACUGUAAAGUAUUUCCCCCUCCUUAAAUGAAAAGGCAGAGCACCUGCCGUUCCGGUCAAAAAAAAAUGUCAACUGUGUUGGUCAGUGGAUCUAGCUAGAGCCUUACUGCAGAACACAUGGCAGCAUAGGUAUAUUUGUCAUAACCGAGGUUAGCAUCUGUGGCUGCGUGCUGUUUUACUGCCUCGGAAAGUGGUGCUUCGCGGCCUUUUAGGCGCAAUUCCACCAUGGAUCAUGUCAUGCCCAGAGUUUACAUGCUGAAGUUCUGUUAUUAGUUUCUUGGAAAGUAUAAAAAGCUGAUCUUGUGACAGUUUCCUGGGCUGGCACGCUGUCACGUGAGCGCCUCGUCCUCAUGUAAUCCGUUUUGCUUGCCAUAUCCACUGAAAGCACCGAAAACAAAGUGAUACGUUAUUUACUGAAUCUUGUGAACUCAAACUGCAAACUUAAUCUUUUCAUCUCCUUGACUUGAGAAGGAACUCUGUGGGGACUUUGGUAAUCCCUAGUAAGAUAUGCAUUGUGCAGUCUGCAGUUCAUUACAAGAUUGCGUGAAGAAACAUUUGCAAAACUCCCUCGAUAUGAUAGGCCGUGCAGAAUUUCUCUGUAGCUACACUGAUGCACUUGGUAGGCCUGAACUCAUAUGUUGCGGUGUCUUGAACUGAUAUGUCAUACCUUGAUCCGUCAGAGUUCAGGACGCAUUCAGCAGCAGACGCCUAAUCGAUCUCUCCUUAAAUUUGAAUGUGCGACCCUACUGGUUGCUCACUACGUGGUUCUUGUUCAUUGUGCACUAUGCUAUCUUGUCAUCUUAUAUGGAGUUCAUUUCCUGGGGGUGCUUUGGGAUAAUUUUGCUCCAGGCAUGCUGUCCUUCUUCCGGUGAGGUUUGCAAAAACUUGUAGUAAUGACUUUGUGUUCCCCCGUUGUAAUCUUAAUCGUUUGUUUGUCAUGUUCAUGACUUGCUGGCCGCGUUUGGAAGCCCUGUAAGUACCAUAUUAUAGCUCUGAUCUCUUUGGUUUAUCUAUAAGAUUCAACCCAAAUAAACUCUAAACCGGCUAAGUUUCAACCCUCAACCAUGAGAACCGGCUAAUUUUUCUUGUCUCAGCUUGAACCUUCUUGUUCAAUUCUGCUUCUUCUUUCUUCUUGGCAGUUCUCUCCAAUGUAGCCAACCUUCUUCUCUCUGCAAGCUCAGCUUUCCUCUGUGCAACCUCAUGUUUCCUUUUUGCUAUCUCUGCAGCUCUCUUCAAUUCCUCUUCUCUUCUAGAUGCAAGUAUUGCCUUCUUCCUCUCCUCUACUUCCCUAUCUUUCUGAUUCUUCAUGGCCUCCAAUUUCUGUACCAACUCACCUGGCCUUAUGGUGCUUGAACUAGCUUGGCUCCCUUGGCUUCCAUUACUCUGGUUGAGCAGCACUUGGGCAGCAGUAAGGAAAGCAGAAGCAGGUACUGGCCUUUGUUCAACAACCCUUGUUGUUGGCAUCUACGAAGAAUGUACAUUUGAUGAGAAUAAUAGGAUAUUCAUGUACAAAGAAUGUACAUUUGAUGAGGAGAUCAGUAGUACCUGGGCAAUCAUGUUGUCAACCAUGAGAUCACCACAUGCAGGAGCCACAUUUGUAGGAGUCACAUUGGCACCAACAACACCUUCAUUUGGAGGAGUGGCAUUGACAGCAGCAGUACCUUCAUUUGGAGGAGGCACAUUGACACCAGCAUUACCUUCAUUUGGAGGAGGCACAUUUGAAGAUGGUUGAUCAUUUGGUGGAGGCACAUUAGGUGGUGGCAGUCCAGCCUUCAAGGUCUUGCACCCCUUCCUGUUGUGAUCUGCAUCACCACAAAGAACAAUGCAUAAUGACACCAUGCCUUGUGAUUUUCUUCCCUCCCCUCCUAUGAUCAACCUCUCCAGGUGCCUGUCUCCUUGUAGUACAUGGCCUUCCAACAUGCUUCUGGUACAAUGGUGGCAUUAUUGGAGGCCCAUGUAAGUCUUCCCAUUCACUCCUAUCUCUACAAGGAUAGAUAAUAUUGCCAUAUGCUUUCUUGAACACAUGUUUUGAGUAGCAAUGAUCAACCAUGUUCAAAGGAUCAACUCUAUCAUUCCUGCAGCAGGCUACCACAUGAGAGCAUGGAAUGCCUGCUUUCUGCAUUCUUCUACAUGUGCAGGUUUUCUUGUGCAUGUCCACUAUGUAAUCCAUUCCUCUAUCACCUGCUAGGAAUAAGCCAUCUCCUGAUCCCUCCACAUAGCAUGUGUUUGCAAAUUCUGUUACCUUUUCAACCUUCUUCCUGAUCUUUGGACAUACAUCUCCUUGCCAUUUAUCUGACUCCAGCUGUUUGUUGUAAUGCCUUGUCAUAAGUUGCAUGUAAAUCCUGUCAACCAUGAUCAGUAUUGGUAGUUCCCUUGCUUCCAGGAUAUACCUGCAUUUAACAGCAAACCAUGGUAAGUAUUGGUAAUUCACUACAUUGAAAAGCAUUUUGGCAAACUUCACAAAUGUACCUGUUGAAAACUUCACAAAUGUUGUUAAGCAGAAUAUCACAUUUUGGCAAGUCACUUUGAAAAGCCUUAACCCAAGUUUGUGGUUCUAGCUCAUGCAGCCAUUUGUAUGCCUUAACAUUAAGAACCUUCAUCUCCUCCAUGCCCUGUUCAUACAACUGCACUGUAUUGCUCCUAGCUAUCUUCCAGAGUUGAUUCUUCAAGAUGUCACCUUUGAAAUGUUGUUGAAAGUUUUGCCACAUGUGCCUAACACAAUAUCUGUGUUCUGACUCAGGGAACAGUCCUUCAACUGCAUUGAUGAGCCCCUACAAUUGCAAAGCAACAUAACCAUUCAGAAGCUAUUCACAACCAUUCACAUAGUAAUUACACAUAAACUUUGAAAAAAAAGAUGGUACUUACCUUUUGUUUGUCUGACAUGAUAGUCCAAGGUUCAGUGUUUAUGAUGCCUAGGUCCCUUUUGAGUGUGUCAAGAAACCAUGACCAGUUAGGGGUGUCCUUAACUUCAACCACAGCAAUGGCAAUUGGAAAUAUGCAGUUAUUUGGAUCUACCCCAACAGCUGCAAGCAGUUGUCCUCUGUAUCUAGUUUUAAUGUGGCAACCAUCUAGGAAGAUGACUGGUCUACAACCCUCCAGAAAUCCUCUCUUGCAAGCAUAUAGACACAUGUACAACUUGCUGAACCUAGCAUUUUCAUCUAAUGAAACAUAGAAGGAUGAGCCAGGGUUGCUUCUCCUUACCUCAUUAGCAUAAUUCCAUAGCAGCUUGUACUGCCCUUCCUCAUCACCAUAAAUAAUUUUUAUAGCCAUUCUCCUUGCUCUUUGAAGUUUCAUCCUAGUGGGUGUCAUAUGCCAUUCUUUCUGAACAACCCUUGAGAAAUUCAUCAAGUUCAUAUCUUGAUCAGCCCUAAAGCUCUCUAGGUAUUUCAUUGCUAGGAAUCUUGGUGUGAAAGCCCUAAUCUUCCACUUCUUGCUGCAUGUGUGCUCAUGCACAUAUCUCUUCACCAUGAAAGCCUUAGUUCUGCUAUCAUAUGAUGCCCACAAGUACCAUGUGCAGUCUUCAUCACAUUUUGCUUUCACUCUUUUCCUAUCAUUCACAGGAAGCUUGAUAUCAGCUCUGUUCUGGCAGGAGUACUCUUUAAUUGCUUUCUUAGAAGCUCCACACUCUCAAAAACCUGCCCUACAUGGAAUUUUGGCCUAUGAAGAUCCUCUGGUCUGAAAGUUUUGAACUUUAAAUGCAUUUCCUCAUCAUCAGAAUCAGGUGCCCACAAAUCUUCACCUUCAGACAAGUCUUCAUCUGAAUUGUACUGCUGCUUGCUUUUGUCUUCAUCUGUAGGUUUCACAUGCUUGACUUUCUCCUUUGAAUUGUUCUUAUGGUUCUGUUCUGGUUCAUCCUCAUCAACAUUAUCUGCAAACAAGUCAUCAUCAUCAUUUCCUAUCUCAUUGUCACUGUCCACAAGUACACCUGGGUCAUAGUCCUCAUCAUCUGUAUCACUUGCAUCAUCCUCUGCUUCCAUAUCAUGACUGCUUUUGAUCCUCCUACUUGAUGUGCUUCCUCCAACAUCCUCAUUUGCAACAGCUUCUGCAUCUUUCCCUGCUUCAACUUCAGGGUAUACAACCUGGAGAGGAGUAGGUGCUGCCUCUGGUUCUGCCUCUGCUUCCCCUGUUUUUGCAGUCAUGCUGCUGCCCACUCUUUUUGCAGGACUAAAUACUGGAGGCAAAGUGGCUCUAGGAUAGUUCACAACAUCAUCCUCACUUAGGUUUGCUUGUAAGCUCUCAUCAUGAUCAAGAUAUAUACUAAAGGAGUGGUGCCCAAUAUCAAUAAACAUCAACAUUCUAUCUGUUUGCUCAUCAUCACUAAGCUGCUUGAGACCAUUAUUACUGAGUGUAAGGAUGGUUGACACAAUAGUAUACCUUCAACCUCCCUGCCAUCUCAUAACCAAUCUCCUCAACAAGGUGUUCAAUCAUAAUUGGUGACCAAGUGACCUUCUCCAGAUUAUCGUACCAAAUGGCACGACCAUUAACAUAAGCACGAUUACUUCCAUGCCCAACAAAAAAUCCACCAUGGUUGAUUUGCACAGAGAAGUUGGUGCUUCGAGGGCCUGAUACACAAGACAGAAACAUCAUGCAUCAUAAUUGACUCUAGCAUCAUUUCAUUCGAGUUUCUAAAACCCUAACCCCCAAAGACCAUCAAAUCCAAUACCGAAACCAUCGAAACUACCAGCUGCAUACCAUCUAUAAUGACAAUGCGGGCCAAAAAGGAGUGUCUUUGAACAUCAAAAUGCAAAAAAAGUCGGAUUUAUGCAAGAUGAAACUUACUGUACACGGGGGGAGGCGCCCCUUCUGCGCGACGAACAGGGGCCAUCGCCACCACCUACCACCGGUGGAAUUGACGCGGCGGCGGCGCCUCUCCAGCCACGGAAGAAAUCAGCACGCGGCGGCGCCUGUAGGCCGAUGAUCGCCGGGGCGGCGACGCCUAUGCAGCGCCUUCCCUGUCUCCAAUCGAAGACGAAGAGGCGUCGUCAGAUAGAGGAGCGGGGCGGACAGCGGUGGUGUGGUGGGGCGAUUUUACACUUAAUCCCUCGCCGCAAGAUUGGCCUAAUCGGAGCUGAGAACGUGGCGGUCAACAGGUGGUCAAAGGAGCGGCUACUCACCGCAUACGACCAACAGUGACCGUACAUUCACGUCACAUCGUAUAUAGUGACCGUAACAGCCGUAUUUCUAAGUUCAGUGACUGUAUCGGGCUCUCGUCGCAACUACAAUGACCGUGAGUGUAAGACAAUAAGUUUUGGGGGAACCAGCACAACCCUCUAGGGGUGGCUUAUCUCAUUAUAUAUAAUGGAUGUGUUACAAUAUGUACAAUAUACGUACAUAAGUACAGAAGCUAUACAUAGUCUAACACCCUCCCUCAAUCUUAGCCACUUUCUAAAGAACUGAGAAGGGUAAGAUUGCGCCUACAAGCCUCAAACUGUGGCAGAGGUAAAGGCUUAGUGAAGAUGUCUGCAAGUUGAUCCUUAGAUGAGAUAAACUUGAUCUGGAGUUGCUUCUGUGAUACACGUUCCCGUACAAAGUGAUAAUCAACUUCAAUGUGUUUCGUUCGGGCAUGAAAUACUGGAUUUGCAGAAAGGUAUGUAGCACCGAUGUUAUCACACCAAAGAAUAGGAGGCUGUGGUUGAGACAAACCCAACUCCUGAAGCAAAGACUGCACCCAAAUAAUCUCUGUAGUAGCAUUAGCCACAACCUUGUACUCAGCUUCAGUACUGCUACGUGACACAGUAGCCUGUUUCCGAGCACUCCAGGCGAUCAAAUUAGGGCCAAAGAAUACUGCAUAACCCCCCGUGGAUCGCCUGUCAUCUGGGCUACCAGCCCAAUCUGCAUCAGAGAAGGCCGAAAGGACCCGAGAGGAAGUCGGCCGAAUAUGCAUACCAAAUGUCAGGGUGAACUGAACAUAACGAAGAAUGCGUUUAACAGCAGCCCAAUGAGUAUCUCUGGGAGCCUGAAGAUACUGACAAACCCUGUUAACAGCAUAAGAGAUAUCCGGUCUCGUGAUCGUCAAGUACUGAAGUCCACCAACAAUGCUCCUGUACUCUGUGGCAUCCGCAGGAGACAAAAGCUCACCAUCAACAGCUGUUAUCUUGUCGGUAGACGACAUGGGUGUGGUGGUCGGUUUGCACUUCAGCAUGCCCGCUCUUUGUAACAACUCCAAGGAGUACUUCUUCUGCGUAAGGACAAGACCAGUAGCACGAGAAGUGACCUCAACUCCAAGAAAGUAGUGAAGCUUCCCAAGAUCUUUGACCGCAAAAUCAGCACCAAGAGAGCAGACAAGAGCAUCAGCAGCAUACUGAGAAGAGCUGACAAGGAUAAUAUCAUCGACAUAUACCAAAAGAUACAUAGUGACUUCUGGCUUCUGUAGAAGAAAUAAUGAAGUGUCAGCAGUGGACGGCACAAACCCAUGAGCACGAAGGGCAGAGGCAAGGCGGGCAUGCCAGGCACGAGGAGCUUGCUUCAAACCAUAUAGUGCUUUGGAGAGACGACAGAUAUAGUCAGGACGAUCAGGAUCAGAGAAACCAGGCGGUUGUUUCAUAUAAACCUCUUCCUCCAAAAAUCCAUGUAGAAAAGCAUUCUGCACAUCAAGUUGACGAAGUGACCAACCACGAGAAACAGCAAUGGAGAGAAGAAGCCGAAUAGUGGUAGGCUUGACGACAGGACUGAAGGUGUCCUCAUAGUCAAGACCAUGGCGCUGCCGAAAACCGCGAGCAACAAGUCGCGCUUUGUAACGCUCAAUAGAUCCAUCCGAAUGCUUCUUCACUUUGAAUACCCAUUUUGAGUCAAUAACAUUUACCCGUGGUGGUGGAGGAACGAGAGUCCAUGUCUUGUUACGAAGGAGAGCAUCAAACUCCUGCUCCAUAGCCUCUCGCCAAUGUGGAAUGCGCAGGGCAGCCUGAUAUGAGCGAGGCUCAGAAGAUGGAUCCGCAACAGCAGCAGCCAAACAAGCAGCCAACCAAGCAACCGUACCAUCCUUACGUUCCUUAGGUUUGAAAAUGCCACUGCGACUGCGUGUAUGUGGUCGGGACACAGGAACCACCGAGGUCGACGGAGCAGCCUGCAACGGGCUGGAGGACGGCGACGUUGACGAGUCAGCCGGUGACGAGGAGCCAGACACGGUAGCCUCGGGCUCGGUCGGCGAAGAAGGCCGGCCCACCGGCGAAACCGGCAGAGCAGACGAAGCAGUUGGCGACGCCGGCGUCACAGACCGGGCCGAUGGCGAGCCCGGCAUAGUGGGCUGUGGCGCGGCCGGUGUCGCGGGCCGAUCCGCGGAUGAAGGCGACGUGAGGACGGCGUCGCGGACCCGAGCUGCAGGCGAAGACGGCGUGACGGGCCGAGCCGCGGGCGAAGACGGCGUGACAGGCCGAGCCGCUGAAGACUCGGCGGCCGCUGGCGAAGAGGGCCGAGCCGCUGGAUACUCGGCGGUCGCUGGCGUAGCGGACCGAGCAGUGGAGAUGCUCGGCGCGACGGGCUCUUCGGGUGACCAUGCAUGGGCACGCGAAUCGAUGCCAUGCAACAUAGGGCGAUCGACGUGCCCAUCAGAAGGCGGCGAUGAUGAUGGUGAAUCCUCCAACAGCUCCAAACGAGCCCCACGUCCGGUUCCUACACCAUGGUUAGGUAACAGCAAAGGAGAGUAUGCAACAUCAUCAAAUUGGUCAGAAGCAACAGAGGAUGAAUGCAGAGAUGGUGGUUCGAUAGUGGACACAGGAAGUUUGGCAAAGGGAAAAACAUGCUCAUCAAACACGACGUCCCGAGAUAUAUAGACACGAUUAGUGGGAACAUGAAGACAUUUGUAACCUUUAUGAAGAGAGCUAUAGCCAAGAAAAACACACUUCUUAGAACGAAACUCAAGCUUGCGCUUAUUAUAUGGACGAAGAUGCGGCCAGCAAGCACACCCAAAUACCUUGAAAAAGGUAUAAUCAGGUUGUUCAUUAAGGAGAACCUCAAUGGGAGUCUUCAUGUUUAAAACACGAGUGGGAGUACGGUUGAUGAGAAAGCAUGCAGUGGUGAAAGCAUCACUCCAAAACCGAAACGGAAUAGAUGCAUGGGCCAAAAGAGUAAGACCAGCUUCAACAAUAUGACGAUGCUUACGUUCGACUGAACCAUUCUGCUGAUGUGUAUGUGGACAUGCUAAACGAUGAGCUAUCCCAAGCGACUGAAAGAAGGAGUUGAGGUUNNNNNNNNNNNNNNNNNNNNNNNNNNNNNNNNNNNNNNNNNNNNNNNNNNNNNNNNNNNNNNNNACUGGACAUGAACAAUUUUGUGCUUGAGAAGACGUUCAACAUGUUUUUGAAACUGAACAAAAAUAUCAAACGCAUCAGAUUUGCGUUUAAUAAGGUAAAGCCAGGUAAAGCGACUAUAAGCAUCAACGAAACUGAUAUAGUAAUUAUGACCACUGACAGAAGUCUGAGCAGGACCCCAUACAUCUGAAAACACAAGUUCUAAAGGAUGUUUCACCUCACGACUGGACUACGAAAAAGGAAGUUGAUGACUCUUCCCCUGCUGACAAGCAUCACACACUGCUACAUCUUUAUUACUAGACAAACUAGGAAGCUCAUGACGAUGCAAAAUAUGACGGACAAUAGGUGUGGCGGGGUGACCAAGACGAGCAUGCCACUGUGACGGAGAGACCCGAACUCCACUGAAAACACGGGCGACGCCAGGAUGCUCCAGACGGUAGAGGCCCUGGCACAACCGCCCACUAAGAAAAAUGUCCCUCGUGCCCCGAUCCUUAAUAAAAAGAUCAAAAGGGUGAAAUUCACAAAGCACAUUAUUAUCACGUGUGAGUUUAGGAACUGAAAGAAGAUUACGGGUCACAGAUGGAACUCGAAGAACAUUGCGAAGCUGAAGACUCCUAUUGGCAUGUCUAGUGAGAAGAGAUGCUUGACCAAUAUGAGAGAUGUGCAUACCUGCUCCAUUGGCGGUGUGGAUCUUGUCGGAGCCAUGAUAGGGUUCACGAGUGUGAAGCUUCCCCAUCUCGCUGGUCAGAUGCUCUGUCGCCCCAGAGUCCAUGUACCAGUGUGGAUCGAUGGAGUAGGACUGAGUGUGUCCCUGUUGCUUCUGCGGCGCGGGACGAUCAGCCAUGGCGACCUGAUGGGCAUUGUUGCGUGUAUCUUUGCCGUCAUUGCCAAGACCAAGGAAGCUUCGCUGGAAGCGCUUAUGACACUUGGAGGCCCAGUGCCCAUCGCGGCCACAAAGCUGGCACACACGUGGACCGCCAGCCCCCGGUAAGGUCGCAGUAGGUGGGGGGGCCGAGGCGGGCGACGGUGGCAGCCCCAAGGGAGACCGGGGUGAUGAAGAAGAGCGGCCACCCUUGGUGGCGGCGUUGGCCGAGAGGGAGCCAGUGCCCCUGGAGCGGCGUGUCUCGACCCGUUGCUCAGUGAGAAGGAGCCGAGAGAAAACCUCGUGUGCCAGCAUGGGUGUCGAGUUGCCCCGCUCGUUGAUGAUCUCGACUAAGGCAUCAUACUCCUCAUCAAGACCAUUGACAAUAAACGAGUUGAACUCGGAGUCGGUGAGGGGCUGUCCAAUGGAGGCCAAUGUGUCGGCGAGGCCCUUGACCUUGUUGUAGAACUCAGUGGCAGUGGAGUCAAGCUUCUAACACUCUCCAAGCUGACGACGGAGUGCAUAGACACGAGCCUGGGACUGCGCUGCAAAGGUUCGCUCAAGAAUGGUCCAGGCCUCAUGAGACGUCUUCGCGAAGACAACAAGUCCGGCAACUGCCGGCGAGAGCGACCCCUGGAUGGAGGAGAGGUUCGCCUGGUCCUGCCCCGUCCAGACGCGAUGGGCCGGAUUAUAGACCGGACCGUGCACGCUGUCUACCAGUGCGGGUGGGCAGGGAAGCGAUCCGUCGACGUAGCCUAGCAGGUAGUGACUCCCCAAGAGCGGGAGAACCUGCGCACGCCAGAAGAUGUAGUUGUCGGCGGAGAGCUUGAUGGUGAUGAGAUGACCGAAGUGAAACGGCGGCGGCGAAGACGAUCCCAUCGAGGGGGCUGCCUGGGGUGCAAACACCAUGGAGGCAGCCGGAGGCACCGAAGCCGAUGCGGGAGGAGGCGGGACCGCAGCCAGGGCGGACAUCGCAAAGCUCGCGGCCGGGUCGGACACCGCAAGGCCCGCGGCCGGGGCGGACGCCGCCAACCCUGCCAGCGGGGCGGUGUGAUCCGCUUGCGGCAGGAGCGGCGGGACGACGCCCGCGGAGUCCGCAGCGGACGGCGGCGCCGUGGUGUGGACCACGAGGUCGCGCCCAAGCGAGGGCGCCGGCGGCGUGGAGUAGACGGAGCCGAUGCUCCUGGUCCCGAUCGGAGCCGGAACGGCGACGGCAUCGAGCGGGAGGUUGAGCAGAGCCGCAAGAGAGGCCGGGAGGAACCCCGCAGCAGUGGAACCGGUGGUGGCGGCGCUCGACAUGGCGGCGGUGAAGGCGGCGGCGGCUGCGGCUGCGGCGGCGGUGCGGGUAUUAGGGUUUGGAAGCGGAAGCGAUCGUAACCUAGCGUGAUAACAUGUAAGACAAUAAGUUUUGGGGGAACCAGCACAACCCUCUAGGGGUGGCUUAUCUCAUUAUAUAUAAUGGAUGUGUUACAAUAUGUACAAUAUACGUACAUAAGUACAGAAGCUAUACAUAGUCUAACAGUGAGGGUAUUUAUCUCCGAAUUAAAACUCGGGUUGAUUCCAGUGUCCACUGCAUGCAUCGAUCCCCGAUUUGAUCCCCGCACGUCGUUAGUCAUUACUCGAUCGGUUGGUGAUCGACUUUGCAUCGGCUGGUGGUCGAUCGCAUCGUCGUAGGUUCCACGCCGUACAUGCCCUUUGCUAGGGAGCCUACAUAAGUCAGAGCGUAACUGAUUCUCCGUCUUUCAUUUCCGCGAGUGCGGUGCGCCAGCCGGGCAUUAAUAUACCAGUGCAACAAGAGUUGGAGCUCGCAGCGUGGAUUGGCCUGGCUGGUUACCAACUCUUAUAGCAUCUCCAAUGCCGAAUCUCAAAUCGCUCGUCAUCGUCUAGACCGAGCUGUCUAAAGGGCAUUUUGUCAAUCCAACGUGGCACCUCAUCGGUCCAUAGAGUAGUUCAAACGUCUACUUUUCCACAAGCGGACGCAAACCAGGGGCUUUGCGGGCGUCUAGACCGCUGCCACGUACCCGGCCGCCAACCCGGUCCCACCCAAAUCCUCUCCCACGCCCGCACACUCUAACCUGCAAAGCGGUUGCCGCGCAUUCAUGCCGGUCCAGAGUGCCAACGCCUCAUGCAGGCCGGCCUAGAGCGGAUACAACCUCUUACUGCAGCAGCAGUUAUUGAAGCGGCAUGUCAGCAAAAGGCGUUGCCUAUUCUCCGUGCAUGUUCCAAUACCGGAGACGCGUGACCUGGCGGGGCUGGACGACUGUGCACCGCAUUCAAACUGGAUCUCGCUCAUCUUCUUGUCAGCAUUAAACUGGUGCGGCAGCAGAGAAACCUACUCCGGCACCCGUAUUGGAACACCACGCCACGUGUCCCGAAUGGUGUAGCUAUUUAAACGCUGCCUCCUCCCCUUGCACGACCAGCACGACCACACCACGUCAUCCAUGACCACGAGCUGUAGACAUAUGUGGGAGAGCCUCAUGAUGGAGUAGAAGGAAGAGUUGGCCUGCAUUGGGGCCGACCGGGUGGCCCGUCGUGCGCGACAGACUGAGGAUGGCUUGCCAGCUAGCUCGUCGGAGGUUAGCGAAGAGGAGGCGUCUGACGAUGAUCUGAUGCCCUAGCCUGCGUAGUUGCACUUCAAUGUCAUUGUGGCUGAAAAGCAGCCAGUGUCACCUGUCACGGCGUCCCAACAGGAACCGGGGACGGGGCAGCACUACACCCUCUGGCUCCUUGACGAGCACCGGAUCGCGGGGGCGGGGAGGGGAGGCAAAUCAUCGACGAGCAGGCGAAUGACGAUGUCAUCAAGGCAUGGUCACGGAGGAACCGAGCUUCUUGGAUGAGCAGUGGGCGUUGGACAAGUUCAUGCGGGAUUGCAACUGCGUAUCCAGCGGGCGAACAUAUAUGCCUUGUUCACGGAUAUCGACGCGGUGGCAGAGGAAGAGGUUGCGCAGGCAACCGCGGACAUCGCUAGCUCCGCAUCGGCCAUGCCACCACUGCGGUUCGCGCCCCGCCACAAUGACCAAGACCCGACCUUGCACGUCCAGUGCCAUCGAUAUGGCGGACAACGGCAUGGAAAAGUAGAACAUGGAAGGCCACCAUGGCUUGAGUCCCAGGAAGACCACUGCCCACGUCUUGUCGGGGAUCACAACUCGUUAGCUUGUCGGACAUGGUGAAGACUGCCAUGGGAACGGACGCCACUGUGGCUGGCGAUCAUUUAGACUAGGUUAAAAAAGUCUAGUCCGCUAUAGUUUAGUUGAAAUAUGGUGAAAUGUAAUGAUUUUGAUCCGAUUUAGAUGAAAAUCAUCCAGUUUGCAUGAAUGUUAUCUGGUUUAUUCAAAUUCACUUCAAAAAUGUAUGCGGGAACGGUUGGAUAUCCGGCUCCCAUAUCACUUUUUCCGGACGCAUCUGGGCGCGUCGGCAGACGAUUAUUGUGUCCUUUUUAGGGGUUCGCAGUGGAGCUGCCCUUAUGUGGCUUUUAUAUUCGUUCCAAAGGGCCUUUAGAAGGAAAACUAAUGUCUCCAGAGUAAAUGUGCACAGUCAGGUUUCAUAAGCUGUAGCAUCAUUUCCUCUCCUGUUUCUCUCAUUUACUUUGUUGUUUAUAUCGCUCCAUUUAACAUCCAAUUUCAAAGGAAGAUGACACAAACUUUUAGGUGUUGAGCGUCACACAAUUUCACAAAAUUUGCAAUACAUUAAUCUCAAAAUGUCAAACUCAAGUCCAAAUGUGACUACAUAUAACCAUGCAUAGAUAGUUUCCGAAUGUGACAUAGACAUGGAUAGGUUCUAAGACAUACUGCAAAUAUCUAAGGACGCAAUGGGACGACAUAGCAUGGAUUGUGCUCGUCAUAGGAGUAGGAGAAAGAUAUUUCCAUGAUCAUGGCGGCAGCCGCCUGGGCAGCCCUCAUCCGUCCAUCCCGCUUGGCCCAGGCGGCGGUCUCGAAGGUGUAAGGCUCUGUUGUAUCCUUGAGCAUAUGCUCAUGUUUGGCCAAGCGUGGGCCUUAGUGGUGGAAGUGGAGGCCUCUAUCGCCUUCUGGAGCCUCCUCUCCUCUUCGGCCAUGGUCAUGCCAUCCUCAUUGGCCGACUCGACGAGAUUAUCCCAAGUGAUCUCGUCAUGGGAGUCCUGGGGAGGCAGGAGGGCCUGGACAUCAAGGGGAACUGAAAAGUGCACCUAUUGCCUUUAGUAGGUUUUGAUGAUAUAUGAUAGCUUGAUUAACAGUACUAAUGUUUUCUCUCAGUGUUUAUCAUCUUAUGUCCCAAAAGAUGCGAUUUCAUAGUAUUUAGUGAUCGAAUAUCACUUUGGAUCCAAAGACAUGCCAAUAUUAUCAAAGGGGGAUUCAGGUAUGUGUGAUAAAGUUUUUUUUGAAAGUUCUUGAAGAUCGGACUUUGAAAAGGUCAGAAGUCUCAUAAAAUCGAGUAGGAGUGAAAUCGGAUCAGAUUCAGACGGAUAAUGUGCAUGCCAUACCCUAUUCUGUUUUUUGGAUUUGAAAGCAAGACAAAUGUGGUAUGGAUGCAGAUUCGAAUACCGGAUUAUGUUGGAUUCAGACAUGGUACGGUGACAAAUCGGACACAGAUCAGAAACAGACAUACUACAUGCAUAUAUGACGAAUAUAUACAUGCUCUAAACUAAAAUUAUACAUAAAACCAAAGUAAAUAUUAGUAAUUAUACACUUAACACAUAAAGCACUAGAAGGUACUAAAGUAAUCCAAAUAAAAUAUAAGAAGCACAUAUCUAAUGUCAUAAGCAUAUAAAUACAAGUAUUGCUAGUUAAUAUUUAAAACUGUACCAAUUAAUUAUAUAACCAUAUUUAAAAGUUUGGAUUAUCCAUAUAAAAAGGAUUAUCAUAACCAUGGCAUAUUAGUAAGGGCAUCUCCAAAGCGUACCCUCAAACCUCCCCUAUAUGUCCUGGCCACAGUUCUGGAACACUUUUGUCAUCCAAUGGGAACCUAUAUAUGUCCGCUGAGCAGUCCGUACGUACGAAUUCCGGCAUCCUAGUAACAAAUGUGGAGGGGGAGGGGGGUUUGCCGGAGUCCGGACAUGCACUUGACCAACACAAAGCCUCCGGUCUUCCUCUCUUUUCUCUCUAUCUUCACAUGCAUGGCCCCCCUCCCCUCAUUCUCUUCCGAACCAGAUACCACACCACAAUAUCCCAUCAAAAGUAUCUGCAUGCAUGGUAUCCCCUUUUUGUCUCUCCUCCCAACCGGACAAAUAUAGAUUAAUUUGUGAAUAGCGUUGGAUGGCUCACAUGAAAAUCAUAGAUUAACUUUAUCAUAAGCUUUCUCAUACUGAAUUAUAAAAACCAAGCAUCUCUGCUUCGAAGUCAAAAUGGAAUGCACGGUGUUCCUCGUAAUAUUGCGUCUUCAUGGAAAAUGACAACGGUUGGGAAAGGGUGUACUUCGCAAUUGAUUAUAGCUUGAUUCAUACAUAGUAACUUCUUACAAAAAUUGGCAGAAAUAUUACAAACCUUGGUAAAGAAACACCAACACCCACACACUUGUCUGACACACUGACCCCUGACCCUCAUAACACUUAUUCUGAAGUCAUUAUGCAAAUAUUGAAAAACAGGGUAGGGAAUGAUAAAAGGCUAAACCAACCGUGCAUGCGGCGAUCAUAAAUAGCAACGUCACCCAGAGCACGAAACCAUGGGGAUUUCAGUGCUGGCCCGGAAGGUGGUAGAGACUGGAUCACUGGAGUCAGUGGUGUCCAUGGUAUCCACCGCCACCGCCACCGCCGUAGGUGGGCAUGGGAGGGACGGGAUGGUAGUCUGGGUGGGGCUGCGGCUUCGGCUCCGGCUUGGCCGCUUGGGCACGGGGUGGUAGUCCGGGUGAGGCUGGGGCUUGGGCUCCGGCUUCGGUGGCACGGGCUUCUUGUGGUGGAAGUGCUCGAUGAUGUGCUUCUUGAUUGUCCCGCACAGGGUCAUGGACGCACACUCGAGCGACGCCACGGAUGGCGUGGCGGUAUUGGCGCCGGCGAUGACACCGAAGGUGGUGCCCUCGGACACCGGCACGAUCUUGGAUGGCUCCUGGCCAGGGCACGGCGCGUUGGAUGCGGCGCUAUGGAGCUGAGCCAUGCAGUCGGCGCCAUGGAGGUCAGAAGCGAGGGGCACGCUGAAGGCGCCGGUGCCGUCGAGGGCACCCACCGCCUUGCUUGCUCUCGUAGUCGCCGUAGACGUUCUUGCACCUGAUCGCCACCUGGAGACCUGAGGUACGUUGACGGCAGAGGACAACCAUGAGCCGAUCUCCAUCUAUAUAGGUGUGUAUUUCGGGUGUGUAUAUAGUAGUAGUACGAUUGAGCUGCAUAUGUAGCUUACCCUUGAAGGCUUCCUCGGCCUUGAUGUUCUUCCUGGUGCAGUCGGCGCACUUGGCCAGACCGACGACGACGGACGCCGCCUCGGCGUUGGAAACGGCGGUCGCCAGGAGGACGGUGAGGACCAGUGCUCUCGUUGGAGCCGCCAUGUUUUUUUUUAGAAUGAAGGCUCGCGAAGAGCCCGACUUUGAAUUAACAAAACCAUCAACUGGCCAGGAAUUACAGACAAACAACAGACCACAUCGGCCCAACAAUACAAGGGAGCAUUCUAGGGAGCUUACAACUCAACGCCGCGCACAAGCUUGAAAGAAAAAUUAAAACAAAGCCCAUAGCUUGCACUAGCAGAAGACCGCAACAAACAGUACCGAGGGAAGCGACCAUCAAGCAGGAUUGAGGACCUGCUAAAACAGAGUGUGGGCAUGAACUGAACUGACGCCCAGGAUGAAGAGAUCGAAGCAUCUUCCUCCUCUCGUGCCGCCAUGUCUGAACCCGUGAAUCGAACUCAGCUUGCCUGUGUGAAGUGGCUGAUGGAUGAAUGGAUGGAACAGGCGACGCAUGGCUUUUAUAGGCCGCCGCAUUGAUCGGCGCAGCUCGAUGGGUGGUGUGGUGGCCGGCGAAGUGAUGCGUGACAACGAGAGGCCGGCUAACUCACCGAAAUUUCAGAUGGCGAGUUGAAUACCGCGCCGGCUGGAUGAUCGGAUCGGUCGGUGCGUGUGCCUCCACGUCGCUAUUGGUGAUCAACUUGGUUUGGUGGUGGAGUACGUAGGUAGGCACGGGCCGCGUCUCUCGGCAUGCACAUGCAUUUGCGUGAGUGCGUGCAUGCAUGCAUGCAGCGUAAGUUCGUAGUAGUACCCUGUUUGCUGGUGGUAAGCUGGUGUUGGAUCGACAUCAAAAUUGCUGUAAAGUGUAUGUCCAUUUUGGGGAGUAGGGAGCUUGCGGUACAGUACCAGUGAGCACUGCUUUGUUGUUCACAAGUAGAAUGUUGUGAAAAUAUGAGCAGCUUUCAGUUAUGUUUAAUCCACGAAAAAACAGAUAGAAGAUGAUCAACAUAUAGUUGACAUGAUAUUCCAACAAGAGAAGUUGGUAAACAGAACAAAAGAUCGAAGGCUAAUAGUUCAAGUUCACAUGAUCCCAUACAAGGUUAGAUUUGAUCUUACCAACAACAAGUUGCAUCGGAAAAAGAGUUGCUGAAGAUCGUGUUCUUGAAGUCCCACAAACAUAACCCUCGAACUAGAACUGAACAUACAGCCCCUCUAUGGAUCGCACCCUUAGUAUGAAACCAUCGAAUUCGAGGAUGUAGCCAAGUGCUAAUUUCAAAACGGUGUAGUGUUCAUGGUUUGAGAGUUCCAGGUCUACUUGCUACUCGUUCUAUGCCACAAUAUUUUUUGGCGAAAAAUUUAUUUUCAUCUUUUUAUUCCACUUUUUGACAAGCUAGUGAAGCCAAAAAUAACCUAACAUGUUAGGAUUGACAACCUACACUUAACUAUCAAGACUAGUGGGUGUGGAAGACCCUAUAGUCAUUCAAAAGUAACAAGUACACUAGAACUCAACCUAAUUCAUAUCUCCAAUAGAAAUAUUGAACGUUGUAGUAUCAUCAUUCAUCAUUAAGACACGCUGAUCGUAGAUAGAUAGUUCCUCCCAUACUCAUGGGGAGCUUUUUUGCAAUUUACGUAUUAUGCAAACUGAAAAUAAACUAACUCAAUUUUGAGGAAAGUAAACAUAUGAAAACGGUAAAGAUGUAAGGGCUUAUAUAUGAAUCUCCCCAAGCUUAAGCACUAAACCGGCAGGAUCUAAUAAUCCCUCUCAGUCGAUGGUACCUCGGGGUUUCUUCUCCCUUGUAGUGGAAGUGUUGUAUGCAAGGGCCUGAUGGAACAACUCAUUAGUCUUCUCUAGGUCAGCGAUGUGAUGUUGGUUCAUCCGCACAAUUUCCUCUAGGUUGGCAGUGAGGCAGGCGUUGAGAGUGGACUACUGGACUUAGUGUCCUCAACAAUCUUUUUCUCCAACUGCCUGAGAUGUUCAUGCAAAGGAUCACGGUUGAUGGGUGACCCAUUAGCAUGUACCUCAAGCCAACGAAUGUGCUCGUUGAUGUUGAUAGGAUGCGGCUUCCGUGCAUAAUUGGGGUUGACGGGGUACUUCUUCUACCAUGCUCUAGGAAGCUUGACAGAUAUAUGAGCCCCAAUAUUGAUCUUCUUGCCGGUGGUGUGGUGUGACAAGUUUAUUGAUAGGUACCCUCCAACGAUAUAUGGAUGGUAUGGCCAUCCACGACGGUUGGGGUACCCUCCUUGGGGACUUCUUCCUCAGAUGAGCUAUCUCCACCUUGAUCCCACAUUCGCCAAUCAUGCUUGAGACCUCGUCCCAACGCAUCGGGAGAAGCGUCUUCCAGCUCGAAAUCCUCCUCGUGGAAUGGGCUUGAUCCAUGUGGUGGGCAUCCGCCGGCUGCAAAGGCGACCCUCCUCCUCCUGCGAGGUCAUCUGGCAUUCGUCCCAUGAGCGUGUCAUGGCCUAAGAGAUGCUUGCCUUUACAUAAAACUUAAUAUGCAACUGGAAUAGAUUGGUUUGUCAAUGGCUAAAGGAGAGCACUCCCCAAAGGUAUAUAAAGACGUAAACCCGUCAAAUAUUCAUGAGAUUAAUUUUUGGAAGAAGAUUAGGAAAUAACCAAAGAUUUUCGGGAAAGAAUAAGGUGUCGCCGCGCGAUCAGAAGAAAAGAAGUGGCGUGGUACAAGCGAUUGCGCUCAUACCAACAGACCACCGUGUCGGUGCCCUUCGGGCAAUCGCCGCUCUGGCCCACCCAGUACAAGGCACCUAUCUACUUUGCCACCAAUCAAUACGAUCAACCCGGAGUGCAGCAAUCAUCGCAGUACUCAAUUGCAUCCUUCAUCUCCGGCCACCCUCCACUCUACAUCAUCGACCACAACAAUGACUACAUGUUCACCGAGUCGCCGACACUCGUCCAGUUGCGGCUUCCGUCCAAGGAGCCCAUGUCCGACGGUGCCCAAUCACUGUUUGGCGGAAUGCCUCCCCUAAGCUCGAUGGCGGCGACUGAGCAACGAGGCAAUGAUGAACAUGAUCCUUAAUGGUGACGGCCAUGAAGAUGUACAGGUCUAUGAUGACUACUUACCGCAUCCGGAGCAAGAGACGUUGACGGACACCCGGUAGUCAUCGGUGCUCGAUGCGGACAGAAAUAAAAAGAGGGAUUUGGCGUACUCGAACAAGGAGGAUGAAUUAUUUUGUUUGAUGUGGUUAGGCACAAGUGUUGAACCGUUUCAAUGUACGGAGAAAAAGGGCUCGGCAUUUUGGCAAAGUGUGCACGAUUGGUUUCAUGGGAAAAGCAUUAUGAGCCCUACAACAAGGAAGUUGCUAAGCCAACAAUGGUACAUCAUUCAAGGGGCCAUCAACAAAGUAUCACGGUCCGUAUGCACAAAUAGAAAACUAGUGACUAAGUUGUGUGUCAACACUCCUUGAGUUCGUAACUUUUCUUCGUGAUGCUCUAUGUGUUGGUCAUUUGAUUGAUUUUCUCUAUGUUGCAACUUGUUGAUCAUGUCAUUGUAUUGCUUUGCUAGCCCGGACGGGUAGCCAUGUUGUACCACAAGAUUGAGGGCAAGCCAUUCAUGAUGAUGCAUUGUUGGUACAAGUUGAAUGCGCAAAGCAAGUGGAGCAGCAUUACCAAUUCUCUCAAGACCACCAACCCAAAGCAAGUGAUGAAGGUGGUGAUCCAAUCGGUGCAAUUUCUAGGAGGGCUUGCACUAGCCACCCAUGUGGCUAGGUCAACGGGAAAUAAAUGGGUGAAUGAGAAAGGAAGCGAGAAGGAGUGGCGGCCAAGACGACGGGGAAAUUAUAGGACAUCAUGGCGAAGUAAGAAGAGGCAUGUGCCAAGCACAAUGAGAUCAUGGAGGAAAUUGUUCGUGGAAAUCCAAAAGAAGAAGAUUGAGUUUAAGGAUAGGAAGCUUGCGGUCAAGUAAGUGUGUGAGGAGCAAAAGGUCUAGUACAUGGAGGCUGAUGACUUGGAUCACGACGCGGCCAAGCUUGUUCACGACUUGCAUGAUAGCAUGUACACACGCCUUGUGUAAAAGGAGAGGGGAAAGUAGGCCAAAAAUUGAGGCAUUUGAUAUGGACAGCCGGUUCAUUGCUUUUGGGGUCGAUAUAUAGAUGUACAAAACUUAUUGAGUAUCCGAUGAUUUUGCUAUUGGUUACAUUUUUUUGCAACCAUUUAAAUGUAUGAUCGAAUUGUUAUUGCUCUAGAAAAUUUGACAAAGAGAGAAGGCCCGACAAGUACCUAGGACAAAAUUUGAAGGACACAAUUGCAUGACACAUCCGUGAAGGACGCAAUUGCAUGACACAUCCGCCCGGACGGAUGUUGGCGGACAGGGAAAAAUGAAUGUACUUUUUUUUUGCGGUUGAAAAAAAAUGAAUGUACUUGAUUGAUCAAGAUAUAAUGAUCGAGUAACUUUUCAUUACCAAAAUUCACACCGGUAUUACAAACCUUGGGAAAAAAUGGCCCAUGACCCAUACAUUUGCCUGACACCCGUACUUAUCCCUCAGAACUGUUAUUCUGAAUGAUAGAAGACCAAGCUAACCCGUGCACAUAUAAAUAGCAACCUCAUUCACUCACUGACAGCAACAAGCCAUCUCAGUGCUGGGCGGGAGGGUGGCAGAUCGGAGUCAGUGGUGUCCGUGGUAUCCACCGCCACCGCCACCGCCGCCGCCGUAAGUGGGCGUGGGAGGGACGGGGUGAUAGUCCGGGUGGGGCUUCGGCUUGGGUUCGGGCUUGGGCACGGGGCCAUAGUCCGGGUGGGGCUGGGGCUUGGGCUCCGGCUUGGGCGGCACGGGCUUCUUGUGAUGGAAGUGCUCGAUGAUGUGCUUCUUGAUCGGCCCGCACAGGGUUGCGGACGCGCACUCUGGCGAUGCCACCGUGUCUGUCUUGGCGCCGGCGACGACACCGAAGGUGGUGCCCUCAGACACCGGUACGAUCUUGGAUGGCUCCUGGCCCGAGCAUGGCGCGUUGGAGGCGGCGCUGUGGAGCUGUGCAACGCAGUCGGCGCCGUGGAGGUCGGCGGCGAGGGGCACGCUGAAGGCACCGGUGCCGUCGAGGGCACCCACCGCCUUGCUCUCGUAGUCACCAGCGUUGUUCUUGCACUUGAUCGCCACCUGAAGACCUGUUGUACAUUCAUGGCAGAACAACAGUGAGCAGAAUAACAUCAUGCCUUUACAAAGUGGAGUAUUCUAUCAAAUCUAGCUAGCUAGCGCUUACCCUUGAAGGCUUCCUCGGCCUUGAUGUUCUUCAUGGUGCAGUCAGCGCACUUGGCCAGGCCGACGACGACGGACACCGCCUCGGCGUUGGCAACGGCGACCGCCAGCAGGACGGCGAGGACGAGUGCUCUCGGAGCUGCCAUGUCUGAACCUCUACCACUUGCUUGCCUGUGUGAAGUGGCUGAUGGAUGGAUGAAUGGAACAGGCGACGCAUGGCUUAUAUAGGCCUCGACAUUGAUCGAUCCAGCUCGGCCGAUGAUCUGGCUGCAUGCAUGCUCGAAGCACGAAGGGGUGUGGUGGGCGGCGAAGUGAUGCGUGACAAGGAGAGGCCGGCUAACUCGCCGAAAUUUCAGAUGGCAAAGUUAAUACGGCGUCCGCUGCAUGAUCGGAUCGGUCGGUGCAUGUGCGUCCACGUCGCUGUUGGUGAUCGACUUGGUUUGGUGGUGGAGUACGUAGGUAGGCACCGGCCGCGUCUCUCGGCAUGCACAUGCAUUUGCGUGCGUGUGUGCAUGCAGCGUAAGUUCGUAGUAGUAGUACCCUGUUUGCUGGUGUUGGAUCGACAUCACAGAUUGCUGUAAAGUGCAUGUCCAUUUGGGGAAUAGUGAGCUUGCGCUGAACUGCAAAAACGGCUUACAUUAAGUCACAUACUUCCUCCGUCUAGGUGUUAGGUUGUGCACCGUGAUGAAGGCAAAGAGAAAAACGAGAGAACUUAAUAUUUAUUUGAUAAUUAAUAGCAUUGCAUGCAAUAAACUGAACCAUUGCAUGUCGUGUUUGCAAGUCAUUGAAAGCAUACACAUCACACAUCUCUUAUUGCUUGAUUCCUUUAUUUAUGUCGAGAAACAGAAAUAAGGUGAGAGUUAAUGCACCACGCCUAAGUGUUUUGAGAUUAUUUAGUUUUCAUAAGGCUACUCAUAGUGGGGAGCAUCAUAUACUAGUAUCAUGCAUAUGAUACUACCUUCAUAGUGAACAGUAUCAUAGAGUAGUAUCAUAGAUGAUCUUGUUUAUUUCAUGCAUAACACAAAGUAGCAUAACAUUUAAUAUAAUACAAUAUAUAUCUAUGUUAAUCUAGCCCUCUCUCUCUCCUUUAAUUCUCGGCGACAUCAGCGUGUUUGCUAUUCCCAAGUGCAUGAUACUAGCUAAAAUACCACCAUUAUGACCAGCCUAAGAUGACUUGUAUACCUAGACACAGGGAGUAGGGAGUAGAAUGUGUUACAUAUGAGCAGUUUGUAAUUAUGUUUAAUCAAAGAAAAAACAUAUAGAAGAUGAUCAAUAUAGUUUACAUGAUAUUCGAACAAGAGAAGUUUCUUUUUACUCGGUACAGACGCAGACGCUUAUACAUACGCAUAUACACCCACUUCUAUAAACGCAAGGACGCACACCAUACCCCUAUGAGAACCUACGAGAGAUUGAGUUGGCACAUCAUCUUGAGUUUGACGCCAUCGUAGUGAACGGGAACGUCUCCUCGCACUGAACGCUCAUCGUCAAAAGGCCUAAAAUAAAAUCAGGAAAAUGCGAGCACCAAUGUUAAGUCUAGGACUUGAACUCUGGUGGGAUUUGUAUACCACUGUCCUCAUAACCAACCGACCACAGAUUGGUUCGCUCGAACAAGAGAAGUUAGUAAGCAAAACAGACAUGCUAUUCAACGGGUAUGGUAAACAUGGCAUGUACAGAUCAAAUGCUAAUGUAGUAAGGAACUGGAAGUAAUCCCUAAUGCGAAUGAAGAAGAGUUCGCAGUCAGCGCAUCACCGACGGUUGACAUGGCCUGGAGGGAUGGGGAGUCGUGUCCGGGAAGUAGUUUUCAUUGUAUGUCGCAAUGUCGGUCGCAUGAGAUCUCUCCCAGAGAUCAUGAUCUCCUCUCUCGCUCUCUCAUACAUGAUCACAAUAGAUGGGGUACCGGAGUCCUGUUGUUCUACAUUGUGGUGCAUGAAAGUGGAAUGGAAAGACGCGCGGCACAGAUCUGGAACUGAAGAAUGGUCUCAUGUACAUUUCUAUGUGGCCCCAUCUAUUUGCAGAGGAGCAACCUCUAAUAGGCUCUAACAAACGAAACAAGUCCACUAUGGAUGAUUCUGAGAUGAAGAGUCUACAAAUGUUCGGUUUCAUCUUCUACUAGUGCAAAAUAAUGUUUUCAAUCAUGUCACGCACGACAAGAGGAGUGACAGACAUGUGACAGGUCAGAGUCCAGCUCGUUCACGAAACACAAAGCGCGUCAGGCUAGGUGAUGUCAUGCAAAUGCAUAGAGUUUAGUUGUAGUUGUUUUCGGAGUAAGAGUAUUGAUCCCACAAAGAGCUGAGGAAAUGGUAUUUUACCCCUUGUAGAGGUUUAUCCGAAUUUGCCUGCAAGUUAUUUUUAGGUCCCAAGCAAAAGCAGUGUGAAAGGUGAAAUAUUGCAAGAGUGUGUGUGUGUGUGUGUGUGUGUGUGCGCGCGCGCGCGUGUGUGUGUGUGUGUGUGUGUGUGUGUGUGUGUGUGUGUGUGUGAGUGAGUGAGAAAGCAAGAAUUAAAGUGCACAAGAAUAAUGACUAAGAACAAGAGAGUAGUGAUAAUGAUAAAAACUCCAGUAGGGCUAAAAGGCGUUCUAUGGAGUCUAUGGAGUCUGUAUUCACCACUUGUAUUUAUUAUACCUAAUUGUGUAGAAACGCAACCUUUGGUUCAAAUACGUGAUCCAUGUUAUAUAUGUAUUGUGUGGGGAGAGCCAAUAAAAAGAUACGUGCAUAUUAGCGCAGUUCUGUAUCACGCACACCAUCACUGUCGCACCAAUGCAUAUCGGCAGAGUACAAUGGUGAUUGAGAGUCUCUUCAACGAUGUGGAAUAAAACACAUGAGUCUCCGUUGUUCCCUUACCAAUGAUUCGGUAAGGAGAGAGAGAGAGAGUUUUCAUCACUGUUGUACCUCUAACCCCACAUCACAAAGAUAAUAAUAUCCGUCAAGUCCCGAUGGGCUAAAUAUUGUGCAGUCAAUGUUCGCACAAUAUCAUGAAGAACAUUAACACGAUUAUAUAACAAAGAUUGUAUAUAUUAUCGUCAUUAGGAUCAUAUAAAUGCUAGUGCUCCCAUGUGUCCACAAGAACUGAUGAAUUACUCUGACAUAGAGGCACAAGACAUCGACGAGGUGUCCAUGGCAAUGGAAGAUGAAUUGUUAAUGUAACACACGUAUAAAUCUAGACCAGGGUUUGGGAUUACAAGAAGAUGAAUGAGGGAUAUUCAAUGUAAAGUAUGUGGAUGAUGUUGUUGAUGAUGAUGAUGGUUGAUGUUGUGGUCUCGGUGGUCGAAGCUUUGGCGAGGUGGUGCCCUUCUGCUGAUUGGCACUUCGGAUUCCUUUUGGAGAUGAGGUUUUCUGCUUCUAUUCUAUGGUAUGUGAUCUCUCUGUUUGUCACGUCCGAGAUCCGAUUGCACGGGGUGGAAGUACUCCAACAGGGAGAGGUGGCACCGUGCGGUACGACCACUGGUAUGAGCAGUCACGCUUGCACUGUGCGUCGUCUUCUCUACUAGAUAGCUGGGUGCAGCUAGUUUUCCUCCCACAUUCUCGUCUCAUCGUAUAGAAAGUCUUAAUUAUGUCUAAUCAGCAUAUUUUUCACACCAAAAAUAGAUGUUUUACAUUUAGUGUUCAAAAUAUCACGGGAUUUUGAUGAAAUCAAGCAAAAGGGCAAUCACCCGUGAUAAAGUACAGAAAAUUACAUGGUUAUUGAGGCCAAGUUCUGACCCCAGGUGCGGUUGAGCCUCACCUGAUCUAGUCUUGUUCCUUUGGUGUGUUGUCGUGCUCGUGGAUGACUGCUUUGACGAUGCUACCAGUGUUUCCUUUUUGUCUUCAGAAUGUUGGUUAUGUCGUGGCCUGUUAUCUGUGUCGUAAGCACUGUGUAUCCGCCAUCUUAUUUUCUUGCUUGUUGUAAGUGUGCUCGAUGUAAUUACUGAUUGGUUAAUGACUUUGUUAAUUCAAGGUCGGUCUCUCCUUAAACUUUCGCUCUGAAAAAAAAGGAAAUUUUGACAAAGAGAGAAUGUCGGACAAGUAUUUAGGGAGCAAAUUUGAAGGACAUGAUUGGAUAACAUCGGACCGGCCGGAUGUCCGCCGGCAAUUGGCGGCGUCCGUUUGGUGAUCGCUGGGGAAAAUGAGCGUACUUGGUUGAUUCAGAUAUAGGAACUUCUCAUUACAAAAAAUCACACCGAUAUUACAAAGCUUGUAAAAAAACUGACCCAUCACCCGUACAUUUGCCUGACACACAUACUUAUCCCUCACAACUGUUAUUCUGAAUGAUAGAAGAUCAAGCUAACCCGUGACAUAAAUAGCAACGUCGCUCACUCACUGACAGCAACAAGCCAUGAAAUUUCACUGUUGUGUCGGACGGUGGCAGAUCGGAGUCAGUGGUGUCCGUGGUAUCCACCGCCACCACCACCGCCGUAGGUGGGCGUGGGAGGGACCGGGUGGUAGUCCGGGUGGGGAUGCGGCUUGGGCUCGGGCUUGGGCACAGGGUGGUAGUCAGGGUGGCGCUGGGGCUUGGGCUCCGGCUUGGGCGGCACGGGCUUCUUGUGAUGGAAGUGCUCGAUGAUGUGCUUCUUGAUCGGCCCGCACAGGGUCGUGGACGCGCACUCUGGUGAUGCCAGCGCGUUCGUCUUGGCACCGGCGAUGACACCGAAGGUGGUGCCCUCGGACACCGGCACGAUCUUGGAUGGCUCCUGGCCGGAGCACGGCGCGUUGGAGGCGGCGUUGUGGAGCUGCGCGACGCAGUCGGCGCCGUGGAGGUCGGCGGCCAGGGGCACGCUGAAGGCGCCGCUGCCGUCAAGGGCACCUACCGCCUUGCUCUCGUACUCGCCGUCGACGUUCUUGCACUUGAUCGCCACAUGGAGACCUGAGAUACGUUAACAGGAGGAGGAUAACCAUGAGCCGAUCUCCAUCUAUAUAGCAGAAAAAGCUUGUCCUUCAAAUAAAUAUAUCUAGCACCAAGUUAGUGCUAGAUACAUCCAUUUGAGAAAGUUUGGGACCAAGUUUUUUCGGACAGAGGCAGUACACGAUUGAGCUGCAUAUGUAGCUUACCCUUGAAGGCUUUCUCGGUCUUGAUGUUCUUCCUGGUGCAAUCAGCGCAGGCCAGUCCGACGACGACGGACGCCGCCUCGGCGUUGGCAACAGCAACCGCCAGCAUGACGGCGAGGACGAGUGCUCUCGGAGCUGCCAUGUCUGAACCUCUACCACUUGCUUGCCUGUGUUGGAAGGAUGAAUGGAACAGGCGACGCAUGGCUUAUAUAGGCCUCCGCAUUGAUCGGCACAGCUCGAUGGCGAUCUGGCUGCAUGCUCGAAGCUCGAAGGGUGGUGGGCGGCGAAGUGAUGCGUGACAACGAGAGGCUGGCUAACUCACCGAAAUUCUAGAUGGCGAGUUAAUAUAUACGGCGCCCGCUGCAUGAUCGGAUCGGUCGGUGCGUGUGCCUCCACGUCGCGGUUGGUGAUCGACUUAUUUUGGUGGUGGAGUAGCGUAGGUUGGCACCGGCUAAAAAUGCUAAACAUACAAAUAAGUAUACAAGUUUACAAACUCUUUCUAUCUACUAACCAAUCACAAACUUGCUCACCCCUCCCUCCCAACCCUUGAUUUUCAGGGGAUGGGCCGCCUCCCCACUUAGUGACCAAUCAAGUUAACCCUCUUUGUAAAACCUUGUAACUCAUUUGUACGUGUAGCAUUACUGGGCACCGGCCGCCUGUACAUGCAUUUGCUUGCGUGCGUGCAUGCAGCGUAAGUUCUCGUAGUAGUAUUCCCUCUGUUUUUUUAUAGUCUGCAUAUAAGAUCUGGCCAAAGUCAAACUUUGUAAAGUUUGACCAAAUUUAUUUGAAAAAAUAUCAACAUCUACAAUAUUAAAGCUAUAUGAUAUGAAAAUUAAUUUCAUGAUGCAUCUAACAAUAUUGAUUUCAUAUUGUGAGCCAUGGUAUAUUUUUCUAUAAACUUAGUUAAAGUUGAUAAAGUUUGACUUUGAUCAAAUCUUAUAUACAGACUAAAAGAAAACGAAGGGAGUGGUACCAAAAAUGCUACACCUACGUAAUGUUUGCUGGUGGUAAGCUGGUGUUGGAUCGACAUCACAGAAUUGCUGCAAAGUGAGUAGUGAGCUUGUGUGUGAACUGCAAAAACGGCUUACAUCAAGUUACAUAGGGACUAGAAUGUUACAUAUGAGCAGUUUCUAAUUAUGUUUAAUCGAAGAAAACAUGGAUAUAAGAUGAUCAAUAUAGUUAACAUGAUAUUCGAACAAGAGAAGUUUUUUUUUAAACACAUUAUAGACGCAGGCGGUAGUACAUACGCACAUACACUCGCUCAUAUAAAUAUGCACACAUGCACACCCUACCCCUAUGAGCACCUGAGAGACUGAGCCGGCACAUCAUCUUGAGUUUGACGCUAUCGUAGUUGACGGGACGUCUCGUCUCACUGAACGCACAUAGUCAGAUGACCUAAAAUAAAUUCAGAAAAAUGCGAGCACGUGUUAAGUCUAGGACUUGAACUCUGAUGGGCUGGGGAUACCACUAUUCUCAUAACCAUCCGACCACAAGUUGGUUCGCUCGAACAAGAGAAGUUGUUAAGCAAAAAAGACAUGCUAUUUGAUGUGUAUGGUAUACAUGGCAUGUCCAGAUCGAAUACUAAUAUAGUAAGGAACCGGAAGUAAUCGUUAAUGGAGGGGGAAAAUAAUGUAUGAUGUGGCAGAUGAAGAAGCGUUAGCAGUCAGCGCACCGCGAAUGGUGGAAAUGGCGUGGAGGGAUGGGGAGUCGUCGUCGGGGAAGUAGUCUUCGUUGUAUGCCUCAAUGUCGGUAGAGCUCUCCCUAAAAAUCCUGAUCUCCUCUCUCUCAUACAUGAUCACAAUAGAAGGUUCCGAAGUCCUAUUGUUCCACGUCAUGGUGCAUGAGGAAAAGUGGAAUGGGAAAGACGUAAGGGGCGCAAAGAUCUUGAACUGAAGGAUGUUCUCAUGCACGUUUCUAUGUAACCCCAUCUAUGGAUAGAGGAGCAAUCUCUAAUAGACUAACAACCGAAACCGGUCCACUAUGGAAGAGUUGGAGAUGAAGAGUCUACAAAUGUUCAGUUUAAUCCUUCUACUAGUGCAUAAUGUUUCGAAUCCUGUCACGCACGACAAGAGGAGUGACACACAUGUGACAUAGGUCAUAGUUCAGCUCGUUCACGAAACACAAAGCGCGUCAGGCGAGGUGAUGUCAUGCAAAUGCAUAGAGUUUAGUUGUAGCUGUUUUUGAAGUAAGAGUAUUGAUCGAUCCCACAAGAGCUGAGAAAAUGGUCUUUUGCCCCUUAUAGAGGUUUAUCCGAAUUUGCCUGCAAAUUAUUUUACGUCCCAAGCAAAAGCGGUGUGAAAGGUGAAAUAUUGCAAGAGUGUGUGUAUGUGUGAAAGCGAGAAUUAAAGUGCACACAAACAAUGACUAAGAAUAAGAGAGUAAUGAUAAUGAUGAAAACUCCAAUAGGGCCAAAAGGCAUUCUCAUAUAGUCUGUAUGUACCACAUGUAUUUAUUAUACUUAAUUGUGUAGAAACACAACCUUUGGUUCAAAUACUUGAUCCAUGUUAUAUAUGUAUUGCGCGGGGAGAGCCAAUAAAAGCUAUUGGCAUAUUACCGAUGUUCUAUAUCACGCACGUCAUCACCAUCCCUCCAAUGCAUAUCGGCAGAGUACGAUGGUGAUUAAGGGUCUCUCCGGGGAUGCGGAUUAAAACACUUGAGUAUUUGUUGUUUCCUUGCCAAUGAUUUGGUAAGGAGAGAGAUAGCUUCUAUCACUGUUGUACCUCUAACCCCUCAUCACAAAGAUAUAAUAUCCAUCAAAUCCUGAUGGGCUAAAUAUUGUGCAGUCGAUGUUGGCACAAUAUCAUGAAGAACAUUAACACAAUUAUAUAACAAAGAUUGCAUAUAUUAUUGUCAUUAGGAUCAUAUAAAUACUAGGGUUCCCCAUAUCCACAAGAAUUGGUAAAUUACUCAGGCAUAGAGGCACGAGACAUCGUCGAGGUGUCCAUGGCAAUGGAAGAUGAAUUAUUAAUGUAACACACGUAUAAAUCUAGACUAGGGUUUGGGAAUACAACAAGAUGAAUGAGGGAUAGUCAAUUUUGAGUAUGUGGAUGAUAUUGCUAAUGAUGAUGGCUGAUGUCAUGGCCUCGGUGGUCGAAGCUUUGGCGAGGUGGUGCCCUUCUACUAAUUCGCACUUCGGAUCCCUUCUGGGGAUGAGGUUUUCUACUUCUAUUUCAUGGUCUGUGAUAUCUCUGUUAGGCACGUCUGAGAUCCCAUUGCACGGGGUGGAAGUUGUCCACCGGGUGGAGGUGGCGCCGUGCGGUAUGAACAGUCGCGCUCGUAUUGUGCGUCGUCUUCUCUCCUAGAUAGCUGGUCGUGGCUAGUUUUCCUCCCACAUUCUCGUCUCUUCGUAUAGAAGUCUUUAUGACGUCUAAUCAGCAUAUUAUUCACACCAAAAAUAGAUGUUUUACAUUUAGUGGUCAAUAUCCUGGGAUCUUGAUGACAUCAAGCGAAAGGGAAAGCAACUGUGAUAAAGUGCAAAAAAUUAUGUGGUUAUUGAGGCCAAGUUCUCGCCCCAAGUGCGGUUGAGCCUCGCCCUUGAUCUAGCGUGUAAUGGUGGAUGACUGCUUCAACGAUGCUAGUGGUGUUUCUUUUCUACUCCCUCCGUUCCUAAAUAUUUGUCUUUCUAGAGAUUUUGACAAGUGACUACAUACGGAGCAAAAUGAGUGAAUCUACACUAAAAUAUGUCUAUAUACAUCAGUAUGUGGUAGUCCAUUUGAAAUCUUCAGAAAGACAAAUAUUUAGAAACGAGGGGAGUAUGAGAGUGCUGGUUAUGUCGUGACCUGUUAGCUAUGUGUAAGCACUGUGUAUCUGCCAUUUUAUUUUCUUGCUUGUUGUAAGUGUGGUCGAUGUAAUUGCUGACUGAUUAAUGGCUCCAGACUUUUCUUAAACCUUCAUUAAAAGAAGAGUAAAUUUGACAAAGAGAGAAUGUCGGACAAGUACUUAGUAGCAAAUUUGAAGGACAUGAUUGGAUGACGUCCGCCCGGCCGGAUGUCCGCGGACAUUUGGUGGCGUCCAUUUGGUGAUAGCCGGGAAAAAAGAGUGUACUCCCUCCGUCUAGAUGAGCAAGUCAUCUUAGAUUGUGCACCGUGACCAAGGAGGAGGAGAAAACGAGAGAACUUAAUGUUCAUUUGUUAAUUAAUAGCAUUGCAUGCAAUGAACUAAUCACUGCAUGUCGUGUUUGGUAAUCUCAAGUCAUUAAAAGCAUGCACACCCCACAUCUCUUAUUGGUUGAUAUGUCAAGAAACAAGAAACAAGGUAGAAUUUAAUGCACCGCGCCUAACUGUUUUGGGAUUAUUUGGUUUCGUAAGAUGACUUACACACCUAGACGGAGGGAGUACUUGGUUCAUUCAGAUAUAUAGCGACUUCCCAUUACAAAAAAUCACACCGAUAUUACAAACCUUGUAAAAAAACUGACCAUCACCCGUACAUUUGCCUGACACACAUACUUAUCCCUCACAACUCUUAUUCUGAAUGAUAGAAGAUCAAGCUAACCCCUGACAUAAAUAGCAACGUCGCUCACUGACAGCAACAAGCCAUGAAAUUUCACUGCUAGGCCGGAUGGUGGUAGAUCGGAGUCACUAGUGGUGUCCAUGGUAUCCACCACCGCCGCCGCCGCCGCCGUAGGUGGGCGUGGGAGGGACGGGGUGGUAGUCCGGGUGGGGCUGCGGCUUGGGCACGGGG
rnacentral:lncRNA from 1 species